rnacentral:lncRNA from 1 species
GCUCAUAAAAUGACAUUUUUAAUAAUGCAUUAUGCAUUAGAAACAGAAGAUCAAACAAAGAGUUCAGCAUCAAGCAAACAUACGCCCUUACUUCUGGAGGCUUGUACGAUAAUGACUACACACACAACAUUACAUUACUUCUAACUUCUUCAACAAACAUAUAGAUAGAUAAGUCAAAAUCUUCUAUGGUAAAUAAGACUGUUACAUUGCCAAUGAAACAGUUGGAAUUACUUCCCACCAAUCUAAAACAUAUUCGCAGCACCAACCUUGAAAUCAUGUAACAGCUAACCAACCUUGCCUGAUGCAAACAUGAAGAAAAAAGACAAUCCAUGAUUUAACUCAACCAUUAAAAUUUGAGGGUAAAGGAGAGGAUAAAUAAUUGCAGCUAUAUCACCUGGCUUGGGCAAGAAAGAAUUAUUAGACUAGCAAUCAUCAUCACCACCAUCUUCCUCUUCCCCUUCCUAUUCUGACCCAUCAUCAUCAUCAUCAUCUUCUUCUUCUUCUUCUUCUUCUUCUUCUUCUUCUUUCCACCCAUUAUUUCUGGUCCACUCUCUAUUAAUGCUUGAAUCUUCAGCUACUUCAGAUACCUGUAAACCAAUUCAUGCAUGGCAUGCUCAUUUUAACUUGUAAAUCAUAUUAUUGAGCGAAACAAGAGACAAACACACUAAAAGAGAGGCAAGAAAUCAAGUCAAAUCAGCAGCACCUCUGAUUGAGCACUCAUUGAACCAUCUGGUGUAAUAGCAAAUUUUGUGGUCAACUUUGAGCAUUCAUACACCUUCAACUUCUUCAAACGAGGGAAUAAGAAAUCACAGCAUCCGAAACUGAAGCAGACAAUACUUGGUAAUUGUUUUAGCGACAGCUUCUUUAGAUUAGGGAGCACCAUCUCCUUCUCAACGUUGACAAGUGAAACAUGAUCUUCCUGCCCAAAUACUCCCAAUAAAUGAGAGGAUUUUGUUACUCUAAGUAUUCGGAGAUUUGGGAGACCUGAAGCCAUGGCUACUGGGAAGAGGCUCUUCAACUUGUUGCAUUCUCUAAUCUCAAUUUGACGUAAUUUGGGAAAGCAUAAAGAUCGGAGAUGAUCACCUAACAAUAUCUGGUCGUUUUCAUCAUCAUCCUUAGCAAUGAUUUGUUCCAAUUCCUCACAGGACAAUAUCUUUAGGACUUUUAGUUGAACUAGACUGACAAUCAUACUGCAUGUGAAUACAUGUGUCAGUCUCUUACACUCAACCACCUCCAAAGUAGUCAAUUUGCUCAACUCGAGACCCUUCCAUAUACACCUAAUGUCAGGCACCAGCAGGAAGCGCAAGUGUAAUUUCUUAAAAUUUGUCAACCCCUGCAUCGAAAGAAAACGAUGAUUGGAGCCUUUGUUAGAUAUAAUUCCUAAUAAAUUUUGUGCACUUUGGAACUAUAUAAUUUCGGUAAAUAGAUGAACGAAUUGUCCCCAAUACUUCAGCCAAAAACUUAUCAACAAAAGGAUAUAAGUAGACAUGGCAAUAGGGCAUGGGAAUAUGAAAUCAGAAGUUGCAGGACUGAAAGAGACUCAAUAUUAGCAAAUGGAGGUUUAUCUUCCUCUUCAAAUACUUCCAUUAAUUGGGGGAAGAGCCUCAAUUUCACUCAAACUGGGAAAGCAUAAAGAUUGAAAAAUCUCGAUAUCAUUUCAUUACAAUAAUUAAUUUCUUACUUCUUAAGCCCUGCAUCAAGAGACAAGGAAUGAUACAGUUAGACAACUCCUUUUAAAUUUAGUGGAUGGCUAAAGGAUUUAUCUCCACUUAUCAAUUGCUUCAGUUUCAGAAAUUUAAAGGAAGAAAUCAAACAUGUAUUGAAGUUGACAAUUUAAAUUAAAAAGGAAAAAGAUUAUUAGAGAAAUAUAAAGGACGUACUUGGAGCUGUGCAAACAAAUUUCCCAAUUCUUUGUGGCCAUCAAUUUCUAGAAUUUGCAAGGAAGGCAAUUGGGCAGCAAAAUUCUUUGGACCAAAGAAGCUGCAAUUUGAAAGAGACAAUUCUCUUAGUUGAGGGAACUUGAUGAUGGCAUCUCUGGUGAGUGCAUCUCCUUCUCCACUGUAAAAUAUUUGCUUUAAAUUAUGAGCAUUAAAAAUCCCCAUCUCUUCCAGGUUCAGAAGGCUUGGAGACACAGAGACAGGGAGGACAUAUUCCAGUUUACCACAGUCUUGUAUGAAGAGAGCUUCUAAUUUUGGAAAGCAAGGAGACUCUGGAAUUAUCUCCCUUUCACCAUCCUCUUUUCUGAUAAUAUGCUUCAAUUCACUGCAUUUACUUAUGUGAAGGUCUUGUAGCUUUGGCAGACUUUGAGCGAGAGACGGUGUGAAGAUAAAUAUCAGUUUGUCGAGAGAAGUCAAAAACAGACGAGCAAGACUUUGGAGGCUGACAUGUCUGGUGGGCCCCUUCCAUAUACAUUUGAGCUCAGGUAACUCUGACAGUAUUAAAGAUGACAGCAGCGGCAUCUCCUUCUCCUCAGUGCUUCCUUCAUAAGGCUCACCCAAUUCAAAUACCUCUUCCAAUGAUUUACAGCGGCGAACAGUCAACUCCUUUAGAUUUUUCAGAGCUCGCAGCAAUUUUGCUGGAAACGGAGCGCGAACAUCCCCACAUUUGUCCACAUGUACAAAUUCUAAUCUUUGUACGAAGCCGUUUUGCUGUUCAUGGGCGGCCAUCUUAUCAGAGAACAAUAUUAUAUUUUUUCACUCUCAUAAAAACAAUUUAUAUGAUGUAUAAAUAGGAGAAACAAAAUAGAAAAAAACAGGAUUAAGUACUUCUUAGAGAUUACAUAUUAUUGUUUCAGUUUUUUACUUAAUUAGAGAUGAGCUGAAUAAUAAUUAGAUUUUUGCGAAAAAAGGUUAAUUCAACUCCUAAUAAUUAGUUUCAUGUAAAAUAAAAAUAAAAAUAGUAACUAAUAUUUUUAUUUUAGUUAUAAAGUUAAUAAAUUUUUAAAGAUAUUUUAAUAGAAUUAAAUAUUUGAACACAAAAUUUAAGUUCUUAUAUAUAUUAAAUCUAACAGCUAAUAUGAUUUCUAUGAUUAAUUUUUGGUAUUAAUAACGCAAACAACAAUGAGGCGCGCUGUUAAGUUUCUUAUAUUUAUAUAUGUUUAGAUAAAAAAAAAAUCAUAAAAAAUAAAAAUAAGCUAAUAUGUUUGUUAUAUAAUUAAAAAAAAAUCAAACUUGGAUUUCCUAGCAUUUAUCAAUUACUUUACUUUAAGAAAUUUGUAGGAAGAAAGAAUAAAUUGACAAUUUAAAUUAGUGGAGAAAUAUAAAUUACGUACUUGUAGCUGUGCCAACCAAUUACCCACUUCUUCGUGGCCUUCAAUGGUUAAGUCUAUGAUGCCAUCUCUGUUAUGAGACAAAGAGACUGGGAAGACAUAUUCCAGUUUACCACAGUGAGAUAUGCGGAGAGUUUUUAAUUUUGGGAAGCGAGGAGACUCUGGAAUUAUUUCCCUUUCACCAUCCUCUUCUCUGAUAAUAUGCUUCAAUUCACCACAAUCACUUACCUGAAGUCUUUUUAGCUGUGGUAGACUUUGAAGAGUUAGAGACACGGAGACACGGAAGACAUAUUCCAGUUUACCACAGCCUUCUAUGAUGAUAGUUUUUAAUUUUGGGAAGCAAGGAGACUCUGGAAUUAUUUCCCUUUCACCAUCCUCUUCUCUGAUAAUAUGCUUCAAUUCACCGGAUUUACUUAUGCAAAGGGUUUCUAGCUUUGACAGACUUUGAGCAAGGGACGCCNNNNNNNNNNNNNNNNNNNNNNNNNNNNNNNNNNNNNNNNNNNNNNNNNNNNNNNNNNNNNNNNNNNNNNNNNNNNNNNNNNNNNNNNNNNNNNNNNNNNNNNNNNNNNNNNNNNNNNNNNNNNNNNNNNNNNNNNNNNNNNNNNNNNNNNNNCUUCUCCUCACCCAAUUCAAUACCUCUUCCACUGAUUUGCAGUCCUCAAUUUCCACCCUCCUUAGAUUUUUUAAACCUUGCUGCAAUCUUGCUGGAAACAGAGUGAAAACAUCCCCACAAUCCCUCACUUCUACAAAUUCUAAUUUAUGUAAAAACAAUUGCUCAAAUGUCUUCGCAUUUAAGGAUGUACCACCCAAAAUUAAUCUUGUGGAGGUUGGGUAUCCAUUAGAAUAAUAUUUAGUAGUAUUCCCUAACAUUAAAUCAUAUUUGAGCAAGCUGGGAAAAACAAAAUCUCUGGGAAUGCAUUCAACCUUCGGUAUCCUCAAUGAUAAUACGGCUAACUGAGACAACGAAUUUAGUUCUGUCAGGCUUGCAUUCAUUCCUCCUGUGCUGUCACAUCCAUCAACAUCCCAUCCAUCAAAGCUGCGAUGCCCGAUCAACAGCUCUUCUAACUUCUUCAACCUUCCAAUCAAAUUCACAGGAAUCCUUCUUAGCCUUUCACAACCUGUCACUUCCAACAACCUUAACUCCUUGAGCUCUCCUAUUUCAUCAGGUAAUUCUUCAAUGGAUGAGCACCACUGAAAAACAAGUAUCUUAAGUCUCUGCAUCUUUUUCAACCAAAUGAGGUCCUUGCAUCCACAACUGAUCAACACCAACGAUUGAAGUUUCGUUGAGAGUUCAAGUGAUUGCAAUGACAAACGCCCUCCCUUCAGAGACAAAACUUCAAUUUCUUUCAUCCCUUCAAAAAACCUCUGAGGAACAUUCAUACCAUAAUCCACUUCUAAUAAUAGAACUUUGAGCCGUGGACAUACCAAUCCUUCAGGAAGUUCUGCUAGUUUAUUGCCCAUUAACGAAAUUGUUGUGCAACCUUCAAAGCUUUCAAUACUCGUUGGCCACUUCUCCAAUACCAUGAAUCCAUAUUCUUUUGAUGAUGCUAUCUGAAUAGCAAAGUCACGAACCAAGUCAUGCAUUCUCACAUGUUCUUCAGUUUCAGUGCCCAACAGCAUGCAGCAAUCUUUGAGGUUUUCGAUUGCCACGGAAACUCGUUUCCUUGCAUCUUCAAUAGGCUCCGCAUCUUGAUGUAACCCAUAGCCAACUGCAUAUCUCGUCAAGUCCUCGAUUGGAAUGUCAUAAUCUUCUGGAAAUAAACAGCAUAGCACGAAACAUGACUUGGUUUCCUCGUACUUCAAAUAAUCAUAGCUCAACUUAAGACAUGUGUAAGCAUUAUUUUGUUCGUCAAUUUGUUCCAUGCGCACAAAUUGAGAUUCUUUGAGCUGUUUAGACGCUACUUCCCACUGAACUCGUGAUUUACCUCUUAGAGCCCUUCCCACUGUCACAAGUGCUAUAGGCAAGCCUUGGCAUUCUCUCGCAACCUCCCUUGUCACUGUGUUCAAGGUAGAGUCCCCAUCACGUAAACCUGCAUUGAUUCUGAAUAAAUCCCAUGCUUCAUCGUCAGGUAAGACUCUUAAAAGCACUUUUUGCUGGCACUCCAUAGAAAAACAUAUGCCUUGAAGACGUGUUGUUAGAAGAAUUUUACAACCCCUGUGAUCAUCACCAAAUGGGAUCCCUAUCUCUUUCAAGUCAAUAUGUUUCCAAACAUCAUCUAGGAUUAUAAGCAUCUUCUUUCCCAGCAGUCUCUGCCAUAAUUCACUUGCUCUACCUUCUUUACUCGUUUUUUCAAAUUUCAGAUGUAAACUAUCUGCCAUUCGAUCCUGGAUGCCUAUGAAAUUUGGAUUCUGGGACACCGUAGCCAUCAAAACUUCAGGAAAAAGCUGCGACUCUAUGGCUCUCCUGCCUACUUCUUUCACCAGGGUUGUUUUACCCACCCCUCCCCAUGCCGUACAGUCCGAUCAUAUUGACGUUGUCAUCUUUGAGAGCUUUCAUGAUCUGUUCCAAAGCUUCUUUUGACGAUUCUGAGGUCGUGAAUUCCUUUGAUGUUAGAAAUUCUAUGGGCUGAGGAGGAGCUUUUUGGGCCACUGUUUUCAACUUUUCGCUACUUUCUCCAAGUUUUCUGAAAGUCUCCGACUUCUUGGCCAGUGCCUUGCUUAACUUGAAUUGCCGGAUGCAGUUUGGACAGCAAGUAAAGCGGUUGUCAUUUUUUCGUAUUUCAUUUUCCAAAUGCUUCACAUCUUCAUGAUCAAUUGCUUUGGUUGCAUCUUCCAGCCACUUUUUGACAUCUUUGUAAAUUUCUUCAGCAUUCCUUUCAGCAGCUUCGACACCUUUUUGCAGACGUUCUUUUGCCGAAACCAGGUUCUGUUUUCGUUCAUUGAAUUCUUGAGCAAAACUUUCUAAACAGAACAUGUAACGGAACUGCCUUCCUACUGGUUCCACCAAGACUCCCGCUAUCUUAGAUAUAAUGGAUACACCAGCACUUUCGAGAGCCAUUUUCCACAGGCCUGAAAAUCAGAGAAAUAAGGAUGCAGAACGUGAUAGUGAGUCACUACGAGUAAAACAGGCGCAGAGAGAAUGGGAAUAGGAAUUUCAUUACCUUAACUUGGGAAAAUAUGUGCGAAAGGCACUGGUACUGAGUGCUCAAUGAAAUAGCGGGAGGAAGAAGAGGAGAAGGCCUUUAGCUCUGUAUGGAAUCCAGCAUCAAAAGCAACAAGGCAAGGACUUAGACGUCUAACUGACUAUUGUGAGUUAAAGCAGUAGUUCCCAUUAAAAAUGCAUUUUGAUGACAUAAUUAAGAUAAUAUAGAGAAAGUCACAAACAAAUAAAAAAAAAAUAAUGAAUAAAAGUACUUAGACGUCUAAUUAGCAAAGAAAGAAACGAAUGAAAGGUUCGGAUAAUCACUUAGACGUCUCCAUGGAUGAUACCAGCUCGCUUCCAACAACAAAUAUAAUUAACCUAAGCCGUGAUAGGUCAAAGUUCUUUUUAGUUUUCUUUUUUUAAGGAAAUAGAAGGAGAGGUUGAGGGAGGCAGAAACGGAAGAAGACAUUGAAAGAUCGGAGGAGAGUAAAGAUAAAAAUAUGAAUAUUUGAUGCUCGUUUAUCUCUUUGAUUGGGAUUUUUUUGUCUCUCUUUUAUUUGGAAUUUCUUUGGACACUUUAAUAAUAUAAUAACAAAAAAAAAAUUAUCUACUUUGGACUACGAUAGUAUUUUUCUCUAUAUUUUGACUUUUAGUUUUUAAUAGCCAUGCACGUUUGAUUUUUUUAUUUUUUUUUUAUGCUUUUACAAAUAAUAUAGAAGAUGAGGACCUGAAAUCACGGCAGCAAAUAAAGAGAGAAAUAACAUGUUUGUUCUUGUUUCUUCUAAAGUAUUUAAAAAAAAUUAAAUUAAAUUUUAUUUUAUUUUUAUUUCAAAUUAAUUUUUAAAAAAACUAAUUUAAAAAUUAGUAUGAAAAAAGAGGAUAAUAGAGUAGGUGUCCAAAUCAAAACACAUAAAUAUAGGAUAAAAACAGGGAGAGAGGCUCUUUGUUUUCUUAACUGUAUUGGUUUAAUAAUGUUUAUAGAGUGUUUUAUAAAUAUUUUAGAUAAAAAAUAGGUUAAAAGCAAGUUUUUAAAUAAAAAAUCAAGCUUAUUUUUUAAUAUAAUUCAAAUAAAAUCAAUUUAUUUAGUUGUUUAGAAUUAUAACUCAAGUUAUUUAACGUCUUUUUUAAAAAAAAAUAAAACACUUGUAACAUAGUGCAGUACAAACAGAAGAGACAUCUGCUUUUUCUUGAGAAAAAGAAAGAAAGACAAUAUAUAUAUAUAUACUCUCUCUUCCAAUUUCUUCUUCCAGUUGAAUUUUGGCGACCGCCCACAUAACGGCCAGCCAUGCCACUUUUCAAGACCCCAUUUCUCAAUCUCAAAACCAAAAACAACCCUUUCUCCAUUUAUCCGAACCUCAUAACUCCAGGAAAGUGAAGGACUAAACCAUAGUGGCAAAAAUCUUAAAGGGUUCUAAAUUGUCUCUGUUACUUUCCCUUAAUUUUCUAGACAAGCAAAAGGAGCUUAACUUAUUCCCGACCAAAACGUCAAGAAUUUCAGUAGAACAAAAGAAGAGAUCAUUACCUGUCCAAAAACAACUAGUCAGCACCCAAAGAAACCGAGUGAAUGAGAGAAAAAAGACUAAUAGCUGGAAAACAAUCAACAGAUCCAAGAAUUUUCUGUAUGGUUUCCAAGAAAAUGAAACGAAAUGAGCAGCACAACCCUCUUUAUCCUCCAAGAAAAGAAAGAAAAAGAAAGGCAAGAAACAAAGCAAGUCAAACUUGGCUCCUCUUUUAGUGUUAAAAAAAAAAAACAAAGAAGUUCGAGGAAGUGGGCUGCCUUUUUUUCUGCUGUUCAUGUGGUGUUCAGCUGUUCACGCAUCGUAAAAUCAUAUAAUUAAAACACAACAAUAAAAAAGUAAUAAGCAGCUAAUUAUGUGCGAAAAUCAGAGAAAUAAGGAUACAAACGUGAGAGUAAGUCAUUGCAAGUAAAAGAGGCGCAGAGAGGAUGGGAAUAGGAAUUUCAUUACCUCAACUUGAGAAAAUAUGUGCGACAAGCACUGGUACUGAUUGCUCAAUGAAAUGGAGAAGGCCUUUAGCUCUGUAAGGAAUCCAGCUUCAAAAGCAACAAGGCAAGGUAUAAGCAUUUUGAUGACAUAAUUAAGAAUUAAAGAAAAAUAAUGUGUACAAGUACUCACCAAGCAAAGAAAGAAACGAAUGAAAGGUUCGGGAUAAUCACUUAGACGCCUCCAUGGAUGAUACCAGCUCGCUUCCAACAACAAAUAUAAUUAACCUAAGCUAUGAUCGGUCAAAGUGUUUUUUAGUUUUCUUCUUUUUUAAAAAGAAAAAACAGAUCAUCAAGGGAAAAGACUUGCAAAGAAGUAGAAUUAAUGGAACGAACACAACAAAGGAUCAAACUCAAGCAAUUAAAAGUAAUUCUCUAUGAGUACCAUCUGUGUCACACACUCAAGUGAGGAGAGAAAAGAAGGAGAAAGAAAGGAAAGGGACAAGGAAGGAAGAAAGUAAGGUCACGUAGGGCCAGUCUUGUAGAAAAUUUGAAAAGUAGCAUGAAAGAAGAGGAUAAUAGAGUAGUUGUCAGAAUCAAAACACGUAAGUUUUUUUUUUUUAACUGUGUCUGAGUGCUUUUUAUAAUUAUAUUUAAUUUAAAAAAUAUUAAAUUAAUAUAUUUUUUUUAUAUUUCUCGUUAUUAUAUAUAUAUAUAUAUAUAUAUAUAUAUAUAUAUAUAUUUAAUAUUUAAUAUUUAAUAUUUAAUAAAUUUUUAAAUAAAAAUAUUUUUAAACAGUAUGUGUCACAAUACAAAAUUAUAAUAUAAAUUAAAAGAAAAAGGAGUUUUAUGCUCAUUACUAUUCAGUAGAGAUGUAGAUAUUAAUAAUAAAGUUUUUGAGAGUCUUCGAUCUAGUAUUUGAACUUAUUUUUUUAGCAUAAUUGAAUUUUUUUAAGCUUAAUUGCAUAUUUUGUUUUUAAGGAAAUUGAGAGAGAGAAACUCGGCAAAAAUAUGUGGUUAAAAUCAAUCCAUUUUUUUUUAAAAAAAAACUCCUUAGUUGUUAAGGAAAGAUUGGUAGUGGGAACAAAUCACCAAAGUCAGCAGCAAGGAAGUUCUAGGGAGUGGGCAGCCUGUUUCAGGGCUACCUGUUUUUGAGAAUUAUGGAAAGUUAUCCCUAACUCAAAAACGGCACCAAUUAUAAGUUCAUUAAUAAAAAUCUGGAACACAACAGAUGGAACAAACUCGAAACAACUCGUCUAGAAUUUAGGCAAGAAGAAUGAGCCAAGAUUUUAAUUGCAAUGAAAUUUGUCUCACUUUGUUCUUUUUUUUUUAAAUGAUACAAGAUAUACUGCCUAUUUCAAGGGUAAAAUAGAAUGGAAUCAACAACCCAGCAUAUACCACAUAUGUGUAGCUGGAAUUCGAUAGCCUUUCUCCGAUGCUGAUAUGUGCUUUACAUGCACCAACAUUUCUUUCUCUUUUAUUCUGUAAUAUUUCACAUCGGCGAGUGAGGAUUUGGUAGCUGACCUUAUUAGUAGUGUUGAUUAAUGACUUAUCAGACGUGUUUUGAGGCCAUGCGUGGUCACCAAAAACAAAUUCGUGAGGGCAGUAAGGCCCAAAAUGAACAAUAUCUGACAAGGUGGAUCGGAUUGUGACAUUUGGUAUCAAAACUGGUCUCACUGACUAUCCAGUUGUGCUAACGGGGUCAUUGAGCUCCUUAAAGGGGGUGAAUUGUAAUAUCUCACAUCGGUGGGUGAGGAUUUGAAAGCUGGCCUUAUUAGUAGUGCUGGUUGCUGACUUGUCAGAUGCGUUUUAGGGCCAUGCGUGGUCACCAAGAACAAAUCCGUGAGGACGAUAAGGCCUAAAACGGACAAUAUUUCGCUGAGUUCUUAGACUGAUAAUGAUUGGUACACAUGUCAUCUCAUUACCUACUAAGCUCUUAUAUUGCCUUUACGAGGGUGAUCACUGGGACAAUAAGAGACCCUUUUGAGACUAGGUAGAAAUCCACCCAUCAUGUAAUGGCCCAAAACCUAUCCUUAGAGUAUGAGCUCCCUAAUACGCAUGUACAUAUAUUUGCAUCCAUAUAUACAUCAAUUCAUUGUAAAUAACAUACAUGCAUCAGAUUGAAAUAUAGGUCCCUAAAAAGUUUACAACACCCAACUUUGAGCAAGAAAUAUAGAAGAUGGAGAGCGUGCUCACCGUGAUACCCAUUUUCAAGAAGAGCUGAAGUCUCUGAAGACAAGCGUGGCUCGCCUCACUAGCUUACUCGAGCAAACACUGAGAAAUACCUCUGGUGAAAGCCCUUCUAACUGACCGGUCACCGUUAAUUAGGCUUCGAUUACAGUUUAGCCUAAAGAAAGAAUGAGCGAACAUGGUCAAGAGCCUCAGUAAAAUCCAACAUUUGUGCAGUCAGCGACACUUGCACUAGCCCCGACAGUCAUGGAGGUAUUUGCUAAUGAGUCCCAUAAGGCCAAUUCAUUUGAUAGCAUUGAUCAAGAUAAAAUACAGGCGUUGGAAGCCAGAAUCAAAGUCAUUGAAGGGGUAGACUUAUAUGACCCAGUUCGGGCAGUAGAGACGUGUCUGGUCCCAAAUGUGGUUGUCCCGAAAAAGUUUCGUGUUUCAGAGUUCAUCAAAUAUAGUGGAAUAUAAUGCCCCAUGACUCACCUCAAGUCCUACUGCAAUAAAAUGACAGAGGUAGUACAUGAUGAAAAACUAUUGAUGCAUUUUUUUCAAGAUAGUUUAAGUGGGGCAACAUUGAGCUCGUACAUGAGAUUGGACAACAUAAAAAUCUAGAGAUUGAAGGAUAUGGUGGUUGCUUUUGUCAAGCAGUACAAGUACAACAUGGACAUCACUCCCGACAGAACCAGCUUGUCCAAUAUAGAGAAAAAAAGACAAAGAAAGCAUAAGAGAAUACAUUCAAAGAUGGUGGGAAUCAGCUGCUCAAGUACAUCCCCAACUUCUGGAUAAAAAGAUGGGCACUUUAUUUGCCGACACACUCAAGGCACCAUAAUAGGUAGUUUGACCCAGCAAUUCACUAAUGUUGUGGUAGUGUGUGAACGCAUAGAGCAAGGCGUCAAGAGUGGUAGAAUUUCUGCACCCAUUGAGAAUAGAGGUUUCGAAAGAAAAGAGAUUAACCAUGUUGAAGAUGGCUAUAAGGGUAGGAAAAACUCAUCCCAAAACUACCACACUCCAUCCCAAAUUGCCGACAUAAAAAAACCUGAGCCCUAAAACUUUCAAGCCAAAAGCCAAAUUAGAAAUUACCUAAGGGUCUAAGAACAACUACCUCCAUUACCGCUACCCCUAAAUGAGAUGUACCAGAAGUUAUUAAGCAUCAGACAUAUAACUCUCGAACCUCUAGCACCUUUGCAACCCCCUUACUUCGGCUGGUAUAAGCCAGAGCUCACUUGCGAGUACCAUGCUGGUGUUGCCAGACAUGACAUUCAUAUUUGCAACACCUUUAAGAGAAAGCUUCUGCAAUUAAUUAAGGCAGGGUGAAUAGCAUUUGAAGACACUCUGAAUGUGAACAUGAACCCUCUACCUAAUCAUGCUUAAAGCGGUGGAUUAGAAAUGCACGAGCAAUCGAAUGUUUGGGGAAUCUGAAAGCAUCAAUGGUCCAGGUAGGGUGCGAAAUGGUAGCAUAAAUUUUGAAGGACUCAAAUUCCAACCACAGUUUUUAUCCCCAUCAUCCCAAGAAUUAUUAUAGGGAGGCUAGCCUAAGAGGAGAUUUACCAAAAUGGAAGGAUGAGGCCUGCCAUAUUAUUGCCUUUUGUUUAAUCAUGUUGGUUUUAACUAUUUCAGUCUUGUCGGUAAUUUAGCUCAUAAUGCCACAAGACUUUCUUUGUCAAAUGAGCCUUCUUGUUAAUAAGAUCAUAUAUUUUCCUAUGCUUAUAACAUGUUUUCCUUUUUCCAAAACUAUGCAUGAUCUCACAUAUUUAUAAGAAUUUUAGGAAUUCAAAGUUUGGUACAAAAAUAUAAAUCAUAUUGGUGUUUCUCCAAAACAAAUGAAUUCUAGAAAUUCAAGUGAUUCCUUAGAAAGGUAACUAUACACUUAGAAAACUUGAAAAAAAAAACAAAAAAACAAACACAAAAAAAACCAUGAGGUGACUCCAAAGUUGAGUUUUAUUUGAAUAAAUAAUGAGAAAUCACUUUGCAUACUCGCAUGAAAGCAAGGCUUACCGAUCUUAAGUGCAUGUGUUUGAGAUGAGGAAAUGCCUCCUUUGCAAUCCCUUUUUGAGUCUAGUAACAUUUUUUAGAAAUAACCUUGGAUAGGAUCACACCCCAAACCGGAGUCAAGUGCGAGAGACACAGAAAAGACCUCGAUGAUUGAAGUGCCCAAGCAACAUUGGGGGGCAUAAAAGAAAAUUCUCAAUCAUCAAAGGUGCUCAAACAAAGCUAGGGGUAUGAAGAAAAAUCCAAAGGAUCCAAAAUUUUUGAGCAUAAAAAAAACAAUUAAAUGAUGCUCAAAACCAAAUGAAGAAAACAAAAAGAAAAAGAAAAAGCCCAACAUUGGGGGGCAUGAUAAACCAUUUUGAAAAGACAUUUCAAAGACAAAAGGUCAGGAAACAAACACUAGUGAUCCUUAGUCUUGAAAUCCCUUGAAACAUCUUUUGAGCCUACAAAUAUCCUUUUCUUCAUAACCAAGAGCCCAAGCCUACAUUACAUGCCUAAUCAAGCCUUUUCUGAUCAAAGGCAAGCAAUCUGGAUCGGUAGGCAGUGCUUUCUCAUGUGAACCAAAUUAUUAUUCAUGCAAAUAAAAUGAAUGCUUUGAAGGCUGGUUCUUUGUAACCCUCAAAUUAAAUCUUAAACCAUUUUUUACCAAACCCAAUGUCACUUCAUGUUUUUCACCAAAAGCAAAACAAAAGGUUUUCAUCACUUCUGAAACCUCUCCAUAGGAAUCACUUGAAUUUCUUCAGAACGAGUUUGCUUUGAAUCGAUGUCAAAAUGAUUUCUGUGUCUAGAAUAGCUUUGAAAUUCCAACAUUUUUGCAUCAAAACAACUCCUUGUCAAAACUUCCUUUACAUAGCCUUAUUCCCAAACCCGAAUUGAAUACUUGGGGGUAUGAUCAAGCUGGGAGGCAAUAAAAAAUACAUGGUAGGGCAGGCUUUAUAAUUCUUUUUCUAAGAAAAAUAUCGGGCAGAAUUGGCAACCCUUGAGAUAUAGGUUAAAGGGUAAAGAAGUAGGAUGAUAUGAAGCCCUUCUUAGAGGUCAAGAUCACAAGAUAUGACUCAAGUAAGCAAGAGCGAAAAAGUCAUCAAAAUUUACUACUUACACUCCAACUUUUGAGAAAAGAAAGACACCAUGAAGAAAUAAGGACCUAUAUUUCUCAGGUAAGUAUGCAUGCAUAUCAAUCAGAAUGCAUUAGUUUCAACAUUGUCAGAUCGGUGUUUCACCAUCACCUUUUGGGCAGGGCAUUUUAUAACCCUACCUCAUUUUGAGUGUGUCUUUGAGCCGUCACUUUCUUUUCGAGUAAGUCUUUGAGUCCUCAUCUCAUUUUGAGUGCGCCUUUGAGCCUUUACUUCGUUGUCAAGAUGCGCCUUUGAGCCUUCGCUUCCUUUGGAGUGCGCCUUUGAGCCCUCAUUUCCUUUUGAGUACGUCUCUGAGCAUCUCUUAGGUAGUGCAUUUUAUAACCCUACCUCAUUUUGAGUGCAUCUUUAAGCCCUCACUUCCUUUUGAGUGCGCCUUUGAGCCCUCACCUCAUUUCGAGGGUGGUAGUGUAUUUUCUAACCCUACCUCCUUUUGAGUGCGCCUUUGAGCCCUCACCAUCUUCCUGGGUAGGUCAUCCAUUACAAUAAGGUCAUUCUUCCACCUGGGUAGGUCACCCAUUAUAAUGAGACCACUCUUCCCUUUUCCACUUGGGUAGGUCACUCAUUACAAUGAGACCAAUUCUCCGUAUUUUUUUGCCUAGGUAGGUCCCUCAUUACAAUGAGACCAUUCUUCCACCUGGGUAGGUCACCUAUUAUAAUAAGACCACUCUUUUCUUUUUUUCCCCUUUGGGUAGGUCACCCAUUACAAUGAGACCAUUCUUUUUUCUAGGUAGGUCACCCAUUAUAAUGAGACAACUCUUUCCUUUUUUUCCCUUUAGGUGGGUCACCCAUUACAAUGAGACCAUCCUUUUUUCUAGGUAGGUCACCCAUUACAAUGAAACCAUUCUCCAUGUUUUUUUUUACCUGGGUAGGUCACCCAUUACAAUGAGACCACUCUUUCUUUUUUCCACUUUGGUAAGUCAACCAUUAUAAUAAGACCAUCAUUUUUCUGGGUAGGUCACCCAUUAUAAUGAGACCAAUUCUCCUUAUUUUUUUACCUGGGUAGGUCACCCUUUACAAUUAGACCAUUCUUCCACUUGGGUAGGUCAUCCAUUACAAUAAAACCAUUCUCCAUAUUUUUUCACUUGGGUAGGUCACCCAUAACAAUUCAACCAUUUCAAAAAUCUUUGAAUUUCACUAGGAAAAAAACCUUUUGACCAUUUGAGUGUGCUUUCUAGCCCUCAAAUGCUUUCCAAACAAUUCAUCAUAUGGUGAGUCCGUUAUCUUUUUUUUUUCUUCUUUACAAAGCUUACUAUCUAAAAUCUCUUACGAGACUUUCUAUAGUAAGUAUUGUAAAUAGAGGGCAAUAUAUAUAUAUAUAUAUAUAUAUAUAUAUAUAUAUAUAUAUAUAUAUAUAUAUAUAUUUGGACUAAAAAAUAAACAAUCAAAAAAAUCAAAAAAAUAAUAACAGUGAGAAGAGGAUGCCAAAGUGCCUGGAAAAUAACUAAAAAUUGGUUGAGGAGGUUUAAAAAUACAAGGAUUGAAAUUUGACAGUAUAUCAUUGACUGAUGAGAGCCUGACUGACAAAGAAAAUUCAAUUUGAGGAAGAAAUGUAUAAAAUCAGAUGUUUAUUGGACUCAAUUAAAUUUAUUAAAGGUUAAAUUGAGUUUAUGAAGGGUUUGAUUGCAAGAAAAAUUAAUUUUGGAGUCAAUUUGAGCUUUAAUUGGAAGAAAUUAAAGUUCUGGGGUCAAAAUAUAAUUUUUGAGAGUUAAUUUGGUCAAAUCAGGAGCAAAACUGCAUAAAUAUUGAAGUUUGAUGGCCAAUUAGGGACUUAAUUGAAGAAAUAUGAAACCAAUGACCAAACUGGAAAAGACGCGUAAAUAGAGGGGUUGUAAUUAACUGAAUCAGGGGCUAAAUUGAAGAAAUUAAAAGUUUAUUGAUCAAUUAAGGGUCAAAUUGCAUACAUCAGAGACUAAGGACUAAAGUGAAAAAGGCGGCUAACUUCAGGGCCGACGAUUGAAUUUGGCAGGGAAGCAAUUGAAUUGAUUUUUAAAAUUAAAGUUACAAUUUAGGACUUGAUUGAACAAAUCACAAAUUGAAGACUGAUUUGGACUUUGAUAUGAUUCUGCCGUUAUUUUUUUUAAAUGAAACAACGUGUUUUGUCCAAAACAGCGCCGUUUCAUCUAUUGUUAAAAAAAAAAACCUCAAACGAUGCCAUUUUAAAUGGCACUGUGGGUCUUCUUCUUCCCUGCAAACGCAGAGGCAAGGGAAGAAGAAGAUUUCUUUCCCCAGCAUUUCUCCUUUUCUCCUCUCUCCCCAUCAAAUUCACAUCCUACCAACCAUUAUGGCUGUCAUAGAAUAGCAAUGGCGAUCUUUUGGCCAUCAUGCCAUAAAAGCCUCCUUUGAGCCAAUUCCUCUCUCUUGCUCUUGCAAAUAAGGCACGAAAAGAGGACCUGAAAUCACGGUUGCAAAUAAGGAGAGAAAUAGUGUGUUUGUGUUUUUAUUUUUUAAAAUAUUAUUUUUAAAAAAUAAUUUUUUGUAUUCUAAAUAAAAACAUGAUAAAAGGAGUAUGAUAAAAGAAGAAAGAAAGGAAUGGGAUAAAGAAGAAAGAAUAAAAAAAAAACCCUAAAAUCACGGCAUGAUAAAAGGAGAAAGAAAAGGAUGGGACAAAGAAGGAAGAAAGUAAGGUCGCGUAGGGGCCAGUAUUGAAGAAAGGCUAAAAAAACUAUGUUUCUGAGAAAGGACCAGGUAAUCCAAGGAACCAAUAGAUUAUCGCCACAUGUUCAACCUUAGAUUCUACUGUGACAUGGAGAUAAAGGUAAUCUCAAAAGCUAAUAGAUGGUCGCCACGUGUUCAACUUUAUGUACCCACUAGGAAAGGAUAAAAAGGUUAAAAAGGCUUUAAAAAGAAAAGAAAAGGAAAGACAGAAAUAAAGGAAAGGACGUGGAAAUAGAAGGAGAGGUUGAGGGAGGCAGAAACGGAAGAAGACAUUGAAAGAUCGGAGGAGAGCAAAGAAAACAACAUGUUUGAGUGGGAUUUUUUUGUGCCUUCGAUAAAAAUACUCUGUUUUUUUUAUCUCUUUGAUUGGGAUUUUUUUGUGUCUCUUUUAUUUGGAAUUUCUUUGGACACUUUUAUAAUAUAAUAUCAAAAAAAAAAUUGAUUAAAUUAUUGUUCAUUCAAACACAGAUUUACUGUGGACUUCAAUAGUAUUUUUCUCUAUAUUUUGAAUUUUAGUUUUUGAUAGCCAUGCUCAUUUGAUUUUUUUAUUUUUUUUCAUAUUCUUCCAAAUAAUGCAGGAAAUGAGGACCUGAAAUGACAGCAACGAAUAAGGAGAGAAAUAACGUGUUUGUUCUUGUUUCUUAUAAAGUAUUUUAAAAAGCAUUAAAUUAAAUUAAAUUUUAUUUUUAUUUCAAAUUAAUUUUUUUAAAAACUAAUUUGAAAAUUAGUAUGAAAAAAGAGGAUAAUAGAGUAGUUGUCCAAAUCAAAACACAUAAAUAUAGGACAAAAACAGGGAUAGUAGAGUGCUCUUUCUUUUGAUUUCUUAACUGUAUUGGUUUAAUAAGGUAUAUAGAGUGUUUUAUAAAUAUUUUAGAUAAAAAAAAUAGGUUAAAAGCAAGCUUUUUAAAUAAAAAAUCAAGCUUUAUUUUUUUAUAUAAUUUAAAUAAAAUCAAUUUAUUUACUUGUUCAGAAUUAUAACUAGUUAUAACUCAGGAGAAAAGACUUGUAAAGAAGUAGAAUUACUGAUACGAACACAACAAAAGAUCAAACUCAAGCACUUAAAAGUAAUUGCUUAUGAUGAUCAUCUCACUAAGUAAGGAGAGAAAAGUAAGGAGAAACGGAAGGAGACAUAGACAGAUCGGAGGAGAGUAAGAAAAAAAUAUAUGAAUAUGUGAUGUCCUAUUUCUCAUAAAAAUACUCUGUUGUUUUUUGGUCUUUUAUUUGAAAUUUCUUUGGACACUUUAAUAAUAUAAUAACAAAAAAAAUUAAAAUAUUGAUGAAAUUAUUAUUCAUUCAAACACUAAUUUACUAUGGACUACGAUAGUAUUUUUUCUUUAUUUAUAUUUUGAGUUUUAGUUUUUAAUAGCCUUUGAUUUUUUAAAAUCUUCGAGGACCUGAAAUUACGGCAACGAAUAAGGAGAGAAAUAGCAUGUUUGUUUUUUAUUUUUUAAAGUAUUAAAAAAAAUAUAUUUUUUAUUUUUAUAUUGAUAUUAAAAAUAAUUUUUAAAAAUAAAAAAUAUUAUUUUAAUAUAUUUUAAAUAAAAAAUAUUAAAAAAAAACCCACUUUAAAAACCUUAAAAUCACGGCAUGAUAAAAGGAGAAAGAAAGUUCUCUCUUUUAUUUGGAAUUUCUUUGGACAAAGGAAGAAAGUGAGGUCACGUUGGGGGGCCAGUAUUGUAGAAAAUAGGAGAUGAAAAUUAGUAUGAAAAAGAGGAUGAUAGAGUGGUUGUCCCAAUCAUAGUGGUUUUUAUAAUUAUAUUUAAUUUAUAGAAAUAUUAAAUUAAUAUAUUCUUAGUGUUUUAUAUGAUUUAUAGAAAAAGACUAAUAGCUAGAAAACAAUCAACAGAUCCAAGAAUUUUCUGUAUGGUUUCGAAGAAAUUCUAACCCUUUUAUAAAACAAAAAAUUGUUUAUAGUUUUAUCCUUCAUUUCAACAUAAUGAUGUAUUUUUUCCCAACUUGCAAUUGAAGUUCGAGGAAGUGUGCAGCCUUUGUUCUGCUGUUCACACAGACUAAGAACUCCUACCAUUGUAAAAUCAUAUAAUUAAAACACAACAAUAAAAAUGUAAUAAUCAGAUCUUAUAGCGUUCAGCUGAUUGCUUUACUUGUUUAAAUAAUUCUCUUGUAAGCCUAAUGGUUCACGUCUUCCAUCAUUGCAACCUUUUUUUCUGUGAUUGAAAAAUCUAUAAUAGGAACCUGCACUUCAUCCCUUCUAUGCUGUUGUUCUUUCUUCUUGUUUUGCUAUUUUGAUUUUAUCAUAUUUUCUAUGAUGAAAGUUGAAGAAAACACCCCUUCUUUUGCAAUUAUUACCACUCCCCCCACGUGGCUACCCAUAAUUGGACUGUCAUCUCAGCUGUAUAAAUGUCUCGCUCAAGCCAAAAACAGAAACGCACAAAACCCCUCCCCCAACAGAGAAUCAAAUGAUAGCUAAAAUCAAAUAUUAUUAUUAUUAUUAUUAUUAUUGCCCCAACAACAAACAAUUAUUAUACAAUUAUUAUUAUUGCUGUUGUUAUUUUAGGUGCCACCUAGUCCUUUGCUAGGAACUUAACAUCCAAAAAUGCCUUCACUAAUCUUUUGCUCAUUUUGAAACCGAAGAGUCCUGUACUAACAAAAGCCUUUUUAUAGGAUGCUAUGUUUUCUUACCCACCUCACGAACAUGAUCAUGAACACGAGCCUAAGAUGACUCUCUUUUUACUUUCUUGAAUCAAUAAAAUAACCAGUGAGUCCUGUUCUUGCAUUCGACUAAAAAAGGUCUGCAAAAUUACAGUAAUCUCAAAACGUUCAUAAUGGCACUGAUAUAAGCCUAUUGUUACCAUCCUGCUAACAAAUACAAAUACGAACAAUGGCUUUACAAGUUGACUGAAUGAAAGCAGUACAAUGGCUUACACGGACCUGAAGUUAAACGACGAAUUGUAGCAGCAGGAAAAAAUUCCGAUGCUUCGGUCUUUCUUCACUUCUUCUUGUCACCAACCUCUUCUAUUCCACUCUUUGUCUCCGUCUUUUCCUUUCCCAAUCCCACCAGUUUUCUCUAGUCUCCUCCCUUCUUUUCUGCCCUUCCCCUCUUGUGCUUCCUCUGUUUUUUCUUUUAAUAAACGAAAACAAAUCACCGACUUUAUUUGCAUCCAAUCUUUGGAGGUAAUCUUGCAAAUCAACUUAGUUACUGACCAUUGAUUUCUCUUUGCUUGAUUCGUGGAGAUAGGAUCUGAUUUUGAAAGCUAAAUCUUGCAUCAAAAUGGAAAGGAUGGCUGCUGGUCUUGGAAGGAGGCUGAUUGAGUGAGCAUGUUUGGCAUAAAAUCUGUAAUGGAUUCUGAGAGUUAAAGCCUGAUUUUUUGUAUCAUGAUUGUAGCUAACAUAUCAUAGAACAUUCUUCUCUCAUUUUCUUGCCACCAAGAGAAUCAAUUGGGAUCAAAAUUAGGCCCUAAUAUUGCACGAAGAUCAGUCUUCCUUGCCCACAAAUCUGCAGAGCACAUGAACAAAACGACGUUGUUUCCUUUGAAUCUUCAUCUUUUAUUCUCCCCUCUUUCAAUCAAAAUGCAUCGUUUCAAUUAAUUUGAAACAACGCCGUUUUAGGCCUUAGGGUUUCUUUUCUAAUUAAAUCAGGCCCAUCUUCAUAUAAGUCCCUGUAUUUAAGUGUUUUUUUCAUUUCAGUCAUUCGUCUUUGAAUCUUUCUUAACUAGGUCAAUUUCAUCUUUUUCUUCUUACUUUCUUUCAGUUAUACCCCUGACAGAAUAUGUCCUCUAAAUUCUCUGCUUUAUCCAUUUCCGUGCUUCGGUACUUCAAUUCUUCAUUUUUUGAGCCAAAUUGCCUUCUAAUUUCAAUUUGAUUUUUCAAUUAAGCUCUUAAUUAAUUUUCUAACUUGAUUAUUUGUUCCAAACUCAUCUUUGAACCUCAAUUUCUUUCAAUUUUAGCUAAUUUAAGCCCAUUUCUCUUCAAUUCAGAUCUCAAAUAUGACUUCAAAAUUUACAAACUUCAUUUUUACUUGUGAUACUCAAAUGUUGGUCCAAUUGCAACCCUAUAUGAUCAAAGAACAAUAUUAUAUUUUUUAAACCCUUCACUCUUAUAAAAACAAUUUAUAUGAUUAUAAAUAGGAAAAAAUAGGAUUAAAUAUUUUUUAGAAAUUACAUAUUAUUGUUUAAGUUUUUUUUCUUAAUUAGAGAUAAGUAAAAGGUUAAUACAACUCCUAAUAAUUAGUUUCAUGUAAAAAAUAAAAAUAGUAACUAAAAUUUUAUUUUAGUUAUAAAGUUAAUAAAAUUUUAAAUAUAUUUUAAUUGAAUUAAAUAUUUCAACACAAAAUUUAUGUUCUUAUACAGUUAUAUAUUAAUUCUAACAAAUAAUAUGAUUUCUAUGUUUAAAUUUUGGUAUUAAUAACACAGACAACAAUGAGGCAGUUAAGAUUUUUAGAUAAAAAAAUUAUUAAAAAAUAAAAAUAAGCUAGUACAUUUGUUCCAUAACUAAAAAAAAUUGAUUUUUUUCUUUAAAUUAAUUAUUUUACAUCGUUUUAAUAUGUUAAUGUUAAAAAUAAAUUUUUUUUAAAUAAAAAAAUAUUAUCUUUAUAUAUUUUCAAAAAGUAUUUUGAAAAGUAAUUAUUAUUAUUUUUUUAAAAAAUUUGCAAGUAUUAACAAUCAUAGUUUCUACUUUAAAAUAUGAAUAUGUUACAGAAAACUAAGGUAGCCGGUCAUGUGGGCUCAAUGAACCUAGUACAGUUGGCCUAACCUAAAUUCCUCAGUACAAGUUGAUUAUGGAAAAGGCACCACAUUUAAUUAGGGGUUGUUCGCAUGCAUUUUAAUUGGAGUUUUGCAUAUAUUUUUGAAAAAAAAAAAUUGUACUUUAAAUUGAAUUUUUUUUUAUGUUUUUAGAUUAUUUUGAUAUUUUAAAGUUAAAAAUUAAUUUUAAAAAAUUAAAAAAUUAUUUUAAUCAUUUUCCAUAUAAAAAGCAUGUUGAAAAACAACGUGUACCACUCUUCUGUUGCUCUAAACACCCUUUGACGACAAAGGAAUGCAAGACAUGUAAACAUAGGAGGUUUGGUGAGCAUAUUGGAAUUUGAUCAUCAGAGGCUAUGAACUGAACUUGGAGCUCUUUGUGAGUUAUCAUAUUAGACAAAGUAAGGUCGAUUUCAACGUCCUCCAUGCAAGCAUGAAAAACCAAAUUCAUUAUGAGAUAUAUAUCCCCAAGAUUAUCACAUCAUAAAAAAGAGGAGUAGUGGUCGAAAUCCCUAAAUCUAUAAAAACAAAUGAAAAUAUACUUGAUAUGUGCAUGUUAUGAUGAUGAAAUGAAUAUGCAUAGAAAAUAUUAUAUGUGUAAUGAAUGAAUAUGGAUUGCCUAUAACAUUUUUCUUGAAGGAAUCAUGACCAAAGACUUCUUUGUGAUUCAGGAGGAGCGACCAUGAUUGGAUCUUCUAUUAGAGGAGGUCACGAGACAAGUGGAGCAGGUGCGUGGUUUCCUCUCUCCUUUACGCUUAUGCAAUUUAAAGUCUUCUUGAUGAAUGCAAUUACAAUAAUGUUAUGUUCAAUGUAAAUAAAGUAUGGCGUUAACAAAAUUAGCUUUGGCUAAUGACGUCCAUAAUAGGAUUGUCGGGGAAUGAAUUACAAGAGUAGUUUCAGCUAAUGACAUCCGUGAUAGGAUUGCCGGAAAUGAAUUACAAGAUUAGUUUCAGCUACUAACGUCAUUGUUGGGACGCCUGGGAACGAUCGAUAAGGCUCGAUUCUUAAAGGGUAUUUAUGUUUGGAUGACUUGGGAAAAUUGAAAAGUAUAAUUGUCUAAAAAUAUCCAGGUUGGAUUAUGCAAAGUCACUCGGUUCAUGCAAGAAAAUAAGAGUAUUAAAAUUAAGGAUAUGUAAAUGAUAUCUAAUUGGGUUUUAUAUGAUUCACAAGUAAAUUAUAAGUUUAUUAUUAAAAUUCUUAUAGAAUCGAUAGAAAAUUUAUGUUUUAUUUAUAUACAUUACAUGAUCAUUUAUAUUUUUUUUGUCAACAUAUUAGUAUGCUUAUUACGUUGGUAUUGUAACAGGUUCAUCUAAUAUCCAGGAGCUCAUUAGUUUGGGGGGUGUUUGCCCCGCACUUUAAUUUGAGUUUUGCAUAUUUUUUUUGAAAUUUCUUUUACUUUAAAUUGAUUUUUUAUGUGUUUUUGGAUCAUUUUAAUAUUCUAAAAUCAAAAAUAAAAUUUUAAAAAAAUAUAUAUAUAUAUUAUUUUAAUACAUUUCUAAACAAAAAAUAUUUUAAAAAAUAACAUUUAGCAGUGUUCCAACACCCGCUUAUAACAAAAGGAAUGCCAAAUGAGUAAACAAAAGAGGUUUGAUGAGCAUAUUGGGAUUCGAUCAUAAGAGGCAAAGUAUAGGUCGAUUUCAACAUGCUUCACGCAAGCAUGAAAAACCAAAUUCAUUAUGAGAUUAUCACAUCAUAAAAGAAGGAGAAGAGAUCGAAAUCCCUAAACCUAUAUAUAUGAAAAAGAACUAAGCAAUUUUAUCUCGGCAACAACAUUGACAAUAACUUUAUGUUCAGCCUUGGUACAAUUUUUUUUUGGUUUUUUUAGUUUAGAAAUAUAACGUUUUGGUACAAAACUUUAUUUUAUUUGUAUUUUAGUUUUUAAAUUUAAAAAAAGAUAGAGAGAGAGAGUUGUUGAAAAACUACAAAGAAGGAAGAAAGUUAGUGAAUGAUAACUUUUUGGUGAUGAAAGUUAUUGUUUUUAAUGUGAAUGGAUUUCAUUUAACGAUUAAAGUUUUAUUUUAGUUUUUUUUUUAUCUUAUUGAAAAAAAUAGAUCAUGACUCGAUAAUUAAUUUAGAUUUAGAUUGAUUUUUUAUUUUUAAAUUAAUUAAAUGUUUAUUUAAAAUCAUGAAUGAUUAAAUAAGAUCAUUUUAAUGAAACUCUCAUCUUUAAGAUGAAUCCAUUGAUAUUAAAAUAGGUCUUUUUAUGACAUUAGUCAAAUACUCUCUUUUCUCUAUUUUCUCACCACAUUCCCUGUCUCCUCUCAACAUUUAAUAACUAAAAAUAUAAUAAAAAAUAAAGUUUUAAGAUUGAAUCAUAAAAAUUUAAAACUACAUAAUUAAAUAAAUCUGAAAAACAAAAAUUCCAAGAACCAUGUUAAACUUUUAUGCUAUAAAAGGAUUGCAUAAUAAGAGAAUAGUUCAAUGCAUAAUAACUUGAGUCUCGCCCACAUUAAAAUUUGUUAUGGUAAGAAUAACAAAUGUUUUAAUUUAAAAUAUAAUAUGAAGCAUAUACGACUUUCGUAAAUUGAUUUAAUAUAUUUUAGAGUAUCUGCUCGAAAAAGCCAUUCAACAUGAGAUUGUUCUGCUAGGAAAACAUGAUAUCAAACUUUUGAACAAAUAGUACAGCAUCAAGUCUCAGUCACCUAUUGUCACCAUGAAUGCCCAAAUAUAUUCACAGCUCAAAGACACGAGUCUCCAUCUUCUUUCCACCCGUUAUAUCUGUUCCACUCUCUAUUAAUGCUUGAAUCUUCAGCUACUUCAGAUACCUGUAAACCAAUUCAAGCAUGGCAUGCUCAUUUUAACUUGUAAAUCUUAUUAUUGAGCGAAACAAGAAACAAACACACUAAAAGAGAGGCAAGAAAUAAAGUUAAAUCAGCAGUACCUCUGAUUGAGCACUCAUUGAACCAUCUGGUGUAGUAGCAAAUUUUGUGGUCAGCUUUGGACAUUGAUGGACCUUCAACUUCUCCAAACGAGGGAAUAAGAAAUCACAGCAUCCGAAACUAAAAUAGACAAUACUUGAUAAUUGUUCCAGCGACAGCUCAUUUAGAUUAGGAAGCACCAUCUCCUUCUCAACGUUGACAGGUGAAGCACGAUCAUCCUGCCCAAAUACUCCCCAUAAUUGAGAGGAUUUUUUAACUGUAAGUAUUCGGAGCUCUGGGAGACCUGAAGCCAUGGCUACUGGGAAGAGGCUCUUCAACUUGUUGCAUUCUCUAAUCUCAAUUUCACGCAAAUUUAAAUACCUCUUCCAAUGAUUUGCAGUCCUCAAUUUCCACCCUCCUUAGAUUUUUCAGAUCUCGCAGCAAUUUUGCUGGAAACGGAGUGCAAACAUCCCCACAAUCGUACACGUGUACAUAUUCUAAUCUUUGUAAGAAGUCGUUUUGCUGUUCAUGGGCGGCCAAUCUUAUCAGAGAACAAUAAUAUAUUUUUUCACUCUCAUGAAAACAAUUUAUAUGAUGUAUAAAUAGGAGGAAAAAAUAGAAAAAACAGGAUUAAAUACUUCUUAGAGAUUACAAUUACAAUUUAUAUGAAUAAUAAUUAGAUUUUUGCGAAAAAAGGUUAAUACAACUGCUAAUAAUAUUUUUAUUUUAGUUAUAAAGUUACUAAAUUUUUAAAGAUAUUUUAAUUGAAUUAAAUAUUUGAACACAAAAUUUAUAUUAAAUUGUUGGUAUUAAUAACGCAAAAUUACGUACUUGUAGCUGUGCCAACCAAUUACCCACUUCUUCGUGGCCUUGAAUGGUUAAUUCUUGCAAAGGCAAUUGAGCAUCAAAAUUCCUUGGACCUAAAAAGCUGUAAUUUGAUCGGAGCCAAAGAGACAAUUCUCUUAGUUGAGGGAACUUGAUGAUGCCAUCUCUGUUAUGUGACAAAGAGACUGGGAAGACAUAUUCCAGUUUAUCACAGAAAGAUAUGUUGAUAGUUUUUAAUUGUGGGAAGCAAGGAGACUCUGGAAUUAUUUUUUUUUCACCAUCCUCUUCUCUGAUAAUAUGCUUCAAUUCACCGCAUUCACUUAUACGAAGGCUUUCUAGCUUUGGCAGACUGUAAGCGAGGGACGGUGUGAAGAUAAAUAUGAGUUUGUCGAGAGAAUUCAAAUUCAGAUGAGCAAGACUUUGAAGGCUUACAUGCCUGGUGUGCCCCCUCCUCCUCACUGCUUCCUUCAUCAGCCUCACCCAAUUCAAAUACCUCUUCCAAUGAUUUACAGCUGUCAACAAUCACCUCCUUUAGAUUUUUUAAACCUUCCCGCAAUCUUGCUGGAAACAGAGUGGAAAGAUCCCCACAACCCUAGCUUUUACAAAUUCUAAUUUAUGUAAAAACAAUUGCUCAAAUGUCUUCGCAUUUAAGGAUGUACCAGCCAAAAUUAAUCUUGUCGAGGUUGGGUAUCCAUAAUUGGCUACCACAAACCAAUUCCCUAAUAUUAUAUCAUAUUUGCGCAAGCUAACUGGAAAAACAAAAUCUCUGGGAAUGCAUUCAACCUUCGGUAUCCUCAAUGAUAAUACGGCUAACUGAGACAACGAAUUUAGUUCUGUUAGGCUUGCAUUCAUUCCUCCUGUGACAUCCAACAACAUCCCAUCCAUCAAAGCUGCCAUCCCCGAUCAACAGCUCUUCUAACUUCUUCAACCUUCCAAUCAAAUUCACAGGGAUCCUUCUUAGCCUUUGACAACCUGUCACAUCCAACAACCUUAACUCCUUGAGCUCUCCUAUUUCAUCAGGUAAUUCUUCAAUGGAUAAGCACGACAUAAGACCAAGAAUCUUAAGUCCCUGCAGCUUUCUCAACGAAAUGAGGUCCUUGCAUUCGCACUCCGUCAACAGCGACAAUUGAAGUUUCGUUGAGAGUUCGAGUGAUUGCAAUGACAAACACCCUCCCUUCAGAGACAAAACUUCAAUUUCUUUCAUCCCUUCAAAAAACCUCUCUGGAACAUUCAAACCAUCAUCCAGUUCUAAUAAUAGAACUUUGAGCUGUGGACAUACCAAUCCUUCAGGAAGUUCUGCUAGUUUAUUGCCCAUUAACGAAAUUGUUGUGCAACCUUCAAAGCUUUCAAUACUCGUUGGCCACUUCUCCAAUACCAUGAAUCCAUAUUCUUUUGAUGAUGCUAUCUGAAUAGCAACAUCACGAACCAAGUCAUGCAUUCUCACAUGUUCUUCAGUUUCAGUGCCCAACAACAAACAACAAGCUUUGAGGUCUUUGAUUGCCACAUGAACUUGUUCCCUUGCAUCUUCAAUGGGCUCCCCAUCUUGAUGUAACCCAUAGCCAACUGCAUAUCUCGUCAAGUCCUCGACUGGAAUGUUGUAAUCUUCUGGAAAUAAACAGCAUAGCAAGAAACAUAACUUGGUUUCCUUGGACUUCAAAUAAUCGUAGCUCAACUUAAGACAUGCAUAUGCAUUUUUUUCUUCAAUUUGUUCCAUGUCCGGAAAUUGAGAGUUUUUGAGCUGUUUAGACACUCUUUUCCACUUAACUGCAGAUUCAUCUCUUAGAGCCCUUCCCAUUGUCACGAGUGCUAUAGGCAAGCCGUGGCAUUCUCUCGCAACAUCCCUUGCCACUUCGUUCAAGGUAGAGUCCCCAUCAUCUAAACCUGCAUUGAUUCUGAAUAAAUCGCAUGCUUCUUUUUCAGGUAAUACUCUUAAGAACACUUUUUGCUGGCACUUCAUAGAAGAACAUAUAUUUUUACGACGAGUUGUUAGAAGAAUUUUACAACCCCUGUGAUCAUCACCAAAUGGGAUCCCUAUCUCUUUCAAGUCAAUAUGUUUCCAAACAUCAUCCAGGGUUAUAAGCAUCUUCUCCACUUUCUUCAGUCUCUGCCGUAAUCGAUCUGCUCUCCCUUCUUUACUGUUUUCUUCAAUUUUCAAACCUAACAUAUCUGCCAUUCGGUUCUGAAUGUCUAUGACAUUUGGAUUCUGCGACACCGUAGCCAUCAAAACUUCAUCAAAAAGCUGCGACUCUGUGGCUAUCCUGCCUACUUCUUUCACCAAGGUGGUUUUACCCACCCCUCCCAUGCCGUACAGUCCGAUCAUAUUGACGUUGUCAUCUUUGAGAGCUUCCAUAAUCUGUUCCAAAGCUUCUUCUGACGAUUUUGAGGGCGUGAAUUCCUUUGAUGUUAGAAAUUCUAUGCGCUGAGGAGGACGUUUGUCGGCCACUUUUGUAAACUUUUCGCUACUUUCUCCAAGUUUUCUGAAAGUCUCCGACUUCUUGGCCAGUGCCUUGCUUAACUUGAAUUGUCGCAUGCAGUUUGGGCACCAAGUAAAGCAUUUGCCAUUUUUUCCUAUUUCAUUUUCCAACGGCUUCGCACCUUCAAUUUCGUUGUUUGCAUCUUCCAGCCACUUUUUGACAUCUUUGUAAAUUUCUUCAGCAUUCCUUUCAGGAGCUCUGACAACAUCUUGCAGACGAUCUUUUUCCGAAACCAGGUUCUCCUCUCUUUCUUUGAAUUCUUGAGCAAAAUUGUUGAAACAGAACAUGUAACGGAACUGCCUUCCUACUGGUUCCACCAUGAGUUCUGCUAGCAUAGCUAUAAUGGAUCCACCAGCACUUUCGAGAGCCAUUUUCCACGGGUCUGAAAAUCUAAGAAAUAAGGAUACAGAACGUGAGAGUGAGUCACUACAAGUAAAACAGGCGCAGAGAGAGUGGGAAUAGGAAUCCAUUACCUUAAUUUGGGAAAAUAUGUGCGCAAGAGCACUGGUACUGAGUGCUCAAUGAAAUAGCGGGAGGAAGAAAAGGAGAAGGCCUUUAGCUCUGUAUGGAUUCCAGCUUCAAAAGCAACAAGGCAAGGUAUAAGUACAACAAUAAAAUAGUUUACAUGGAUUCUAACUGACUCUUGUGAGUUAACUUAAAGCAGUAGUUCCCAUUAAAAAUGCAUUUUGAUGACAUAAUUAAGAUAAUAUAGAGACAGUGACAAACAAAUAAAAAAAUAAAAAUGUGUAAAAGUACUCACGCAAAGAAAGAAACGAUUGAAAGGUUCGGAUAAUCACUUAGACGUCUCCGUGGAUGAUACCAGCUCGCUUCCAUGGAUAGGUCAAAGUUUUUUUUAGUUUUCUUUUUUUAAAAAAAAAAACAGAUCAACAAGAGAAAAGACUUGCAAAGAAGUAGAAUUACUGAAAGAAACUCAACAAAAAAUCAAACUGAAGCAAUUAAAAAUAAUUGUCUAUGAUGACCAUCUCUGUAUCACAUAUUCAGGUAAUAUUCAGGUAACAAUAUUAAAAAAAAAAAAAAAAAAAAGCUAAAAGAACUACGUUUUUGAUAGCAUCCAGAGUGCGGUUACUCUUUUAAUCCCUUUUUUGUGGUUUUAUUUUAUUUCAGUCCUUCAAGUCUUUUUCUUUUGCUAUUUCAUCGAGUUGCUUUGCUCUUGAGUUGUUUUGUGGUUUUAUUUUGUUUCAGUCCUCGAACAUGCAACAUGCAUUAUGCUAGGAAUCAUAAUUACAUAUUAUAAUUACAAAUUUCAGUUUUUUUAAAAAAAAAUAUAUGAGAAAGGACCAAUAUUACAAUGUGAACAAAUGAAAGGAGAAUUUUAAAUUUUCUUGUGACAUGGUGACCAGGUAAUCCAAGGAACCAAUAGAUUAUCGCCACUUGUUCAACCUUAUCUGCACAUUAAGAUAGGGUUGAAAGUAGGAGAGAAAAGUCAUAACCCUAGAUUCUAUUGUGACAUGGAGAUAAAGGUAAUCUCAAAAGCUAAUAGAUGGUCGCCACGUGUUCAACUUUAUCUACCCUUAGGAAGGGAUAGAAAUGGGAGAGAGAGAGGUUAAAAGGCUUAAAAAAAAGAAAAAAGGAAAGACAGAAAUAAAAGAAAGGUUGAGAUAAGAGAGGGACGUGGAAAUAGAAGGAGAGGUUGAGGGAGGCUGCAGAAACGGAAGAAGACAUUGAAAGAUCGGAGGAGAGUAAGAUAAAAAUAUGAAAAUGAGAUGCUCGUUUAUCUUUUUGAUUGGGAUUUUUUUGUGCCUUUGAUAAAAAUACUCUGUUUUUUUUUUUUUUUUCUCUCUUUGAUUGGGAUUUUCUUGUCUCUUUUAUUUGGAAAUUUUUUGGACACUUAUAUAAUAUUGGUGAAAUUAUUGUUCAUUCAAACACAAAUUUACUUUGGACUACAAUAAUAUUUUUCUCUAAUUUUGAGUUUUAGUUUUUGAUAGCCAAGCUCGUUCGAUUUUUUUUAUUUUUUUUUUCAUGCUCUUGUAAAUAAUGUAGGAGAUGAGGACCUGAAAUCACGGCAGCGAACAAAGAGAGAAAUUUUAUUUUUAUUUGAAAUUAAUUUUUUAAAAACUAGUUUAACAAUUAAUAUAUAUAUAUAUAUAUAUAAAGAUAAUAGAGUAUUUGUCCAAAUCAAAACUCAUUAACAUAGGACACAAACACGGAGAGAGCUAUUUGUUUUUUUAACUGUAUCAGAGUGGUUUUUAAUUAAUAUUUUUAGUGUAUUUUUAUGAUUUAAAAAAAUGUUUUUUUGAUGAUAUAUAUAUAUAUAUAUAUAAUUUUUUUAAUAUAUUUUUAAAAUUAUAUGUCACGAAGGGGGUUUUAUAUUUUUUAAAAUUCACGUAGAUUUAUUUUACUGUAGAUAACAAUAAUGAAUAUUUUAAAAAUUUUAAAGAGAGAAACUUGUUAAAAUCAUUGUUUUUUGAGUUAAAUCAUUGUUUUUUUUACUUUAAAAACACCUCAAAAAUAAUCUGAACUCCAAAAAAUCUCAGAAAAUCUUUUAUUUUAGGUUGUUUUUAGAUUUUAGAGUGGUUUUUUGUAUUUUUGGAGAUUUUGUAUUAGUUUAAUAAGGUUAUAAGAGUGUUUCAUAUAUAUUUUGGAUAAAAAAAUAGGUUGAAAAUAAAUUUUUAAAUAAAAAAUCAAGCCUUGUUUUUAAAUAUAAUUCAAAUAAAACUAUUUAUUUAGUUGGUCAGAAUUAUAAUCUUAAUUAUUUAAUAUUUUUUUAGAGGAAAAAGAAACACGCUUACAAAUAGUGCAGUACAAACCGAAGAGACAUCUUGUUUCCCUAAAAAGAAAAAGAAAGGAAUAUAUAUAUAUAUAUAUAUAUAUAUAUAUAUAUAUAUAUCCUCUCUUUUUAUAUCUUCUCUCUUCUUAAUUUUAUCGACCACUUAUCCAACGAUAGCCUAAACAACCAUCAGUCAUGCCUCUUUUCAAGACACAAUCUAUCAAUCUCUAAACUAGAAACAUCCCCUUCUUCAUUUAACCUAAUCUCAUAACUCCAAGAAAGUGAAGGACUAAAUCAUAGUGACAAAUCUUAAAGAGUUCUAAAUUAUCUCUGUUACUUUCCCUCAAUUUUCUAGACAACCAAAAGGAGCUCUAAACUUAUUCCCAAAAAACAACCAAUCAGCACUGAAAGAAACCGAGUCAAUGAGAGAAAAAGACUAAUAGCUAGAAAACAAUCAACAAAAUGAAGAACUUUCUGUAUGGUUUCCAAGAAAAUGAAAAGAAACAAGCAGCACAACCCUUUUUCCCCUCCAAGAAAAGAAAGACAAGGUAAAAGGUAAAAGAAAGGAAAGAAACAAAGAUAGAAAGUCGAACUUGGCUAAGUCUAUAGCUUAUUAAAUUCAUAUAGAAAGGUGGGAUUUUAUAAGCCAUGUAAUAUCUCUUUUUUCUUAGCAACCAAACACAACUAGAAAGCCAAAAGAAAACAUUUUUGAUGAAUACCCACCAAACAGUUGAAGUGCUGUUGUAACUGAGAUUUACUGUUAUAUGUAAUUUUUGUGGUUCAAUGGAUAAAUAAUUUUCUUUUCUUUCAUUUUACCAGCUUUCGCACGUGGAAUAUUGAGUCUUCUGUUUUUUUCAGCCAUAUAAUUGAAUCCUUUAUAUAUUCUUAAAACCAGAUUUGAAUUCUAAGUUCCUAAAUGAAGGAAUAAUAAAGAUUGUUGCAUGUAUAAAUUUUCCUUCAAAAAAUUAACAAAUAAUAAAGUCUCAUAUGUUAAUGAAGAUUUAAUUAUAACUUAGCCCUGUAAUUUAUUGAAAUUAAUUAUUGUGUCCUUAAAGUAUCAUGGAUAAUUAAAAAGUCUAUUAACUAGUGUUGAUCACCCCCUAUUUACUAUAUUUUUCUCUAAAAAAUGCCUUCCUAAUGAAAUUUCCCCAACUGCAUACUUUUUUUUUCCUUAUUCUAUUUUUCAAAAAAGAAGAAAAACAAAUAUUACUUGGAAACAAACUAAACUAUAUGUAACUUUAAUAAUAUAAGAAUUAAGCAUAUAGUUAUUGAAACUAUAUGAUUAAUUAAUUAUUGUUAUCAAAUUAUACAGACUAAAUUAUAAUUGGUUAAGUGUUUGUGUGGAGGAGUGUUUGCAAAUACCAUGGGAGAUGCGAUUUGUAUUAUUUUAGUUGUUGGUAUAAUAGUCCAAAAUAUUAUGACCACUAUUUUAUCAUAGUUAUUACACUUGGUCCAGCUCAGCAAGUCAACCAGGACUCGGGUGACCUGGGGCCUUAACCAGGUCUGUUUUAUUGAAAACUCGAGCCUGCAAUUGUCUAAGAGAAAACUGGUCAACCCGAAACCUGGGUGACCCAACAAAACCCGGUAAAGACCCUUUUUUUUAGUUUGUUUUUUCUCCUAACCAGAGACCUCUCUUUUUAUGUAUAUAUAUUUUUCAAUUGGAUACCAACUCAUUUCAAAGUUCAACAACCCAGUUUCAUGGAAUUGGAUGUUUACACCUAAAUUCUUCCAUAGAAGUCUGCAACAUCUUGUCUCUGAUCAGUGAUCACUACAAUUGCAUAUUCUAGGCUGAUUGAGUUGACACCAUUAAACGAAUGAAUGUGAAUCUACAACCUCCAAAUUAAACACGGUUGGAUCUAAACAAAAUGUGUGCACCUCCUUUACCAACUUUAGGUGGUUUUCGAUAAUGUUUACAUCAGAGUUGCUCCAGCAAAACCUUGAAAAUGCUCAACCUAAUCAGCCUUGACUAUGUCACCCAUUUCACAAAAACCACCCAUUUUUUUCGUGUGUUCACAUUUAAAACCUUCUCAAAAGGUUCUUAUCAAUGACUUUAAAACCUACCUUUCAAAAUCAAAAGGCCAAAAAUAACUCAUUGCCUUCUAAGUCUAGCAAAACCAUCAAGCACCCUUCAAACCAAAACCACAAUUGCAAAACCAGUUAAGUAUAAGAGCUUCUAGUUGUUUGCUUUUUUUAGAACCCUCUGACUUUGAUCAAAAGGCUGAACUUUGAUCAAUCUUUGAUGGAAUCCACCAAAAAACCUAUAAAUACCAUAUAAAUACCCUUGGAAAUCAGAGUUGGAGAGAAGGAUAGGGAAAACAUGGAAAUAGUCUGUUAAUAGACCAUCCUAUGAAGGUUUAAGAGCAUAAUAUAGAAGGUUUAACAAGCUUUGUAAAGAAAGAGAGUGAAAAAUAACAGUUUAUAGUUAGCAAGCUUGAAGAAGAUAUAAUCAUGUAAAAACCCAAGGGUGGAGUCUAUGUGACUUGCCCAUUCAUGCUUUCUUAAUGUUUAAACAUCUUUUAAUGUUUUUUUUAAACUUGUUUUAGUGCUAUGAUGUUUUUUAGUUUUGUUUUGAUUAAUACAUAAAAAUAUUAUUUUUAUUGUUUAAAUUUUAUUUGGAAUUGUUGUUGAUGUUACAAAGACUUAUUUAUCAUAGAUCAAUUUGGUAAUGACUACUAGACUUUGUGAAAAGACCUCACUGUCUCUAAUAGCGAGUUCAAUGAUUUUUUAUGAUAUAAACAAAACAUCAUCAUAUGAACAAUAUUUUCACUUAUAGUGAAUAGUAUUUUCUAAGUGGUUUUAGAUUUGGUUUAUUAGAGUUUCUAAAAGACAAAAAAUGAAAAGUGAGAGACAAAUAAAAAAAGAGUAAUCUUAUCUUUUGAUAUGGUAGUCUAAAAUACACCAUGAUAUGGUGGCGAGGCCCUUUUUUCCUGCCUUUUCUUUUAAAAAAUGUUAUGCCUUUGAUUACAAAUCCUUAGUCCCCAACAACAAUUGUAACAGAGUUAAAGGUUAUGUAAAAGGAAUCUAAAAACUCUAUCAAAAGUAGUGGAGCACUAGCAUAUUGGCCGGUGCUCUGCAACAGGUCAAUAUCAAUUUUUUUAAAAUGUAAAAAAAUAUGAAGAGUAUAGAAAAUGUUUUAAGUGUCUUGGGUCUAGUACCCUUACCAGAACUAAGCAUGACUACCAGACUCAAGUUGCUUGGGUCUGGCAAGGCUGAAGACCCAAGGCUCUUCAGUGUAGUAUGGUUGCCAGACCCAAAGCAAUGGGGUCUGGCAUUGUUGCUAGACCCACAGAAACAAACAUAUCAGACCUACAUUACUUGGGUGUGAUAACAUUGCCAGCCCCGAUCGACCUAGUUCUGUUAGUCAUGCCAAAAUUGAUCACCUUCGGUCUUGCAGUCAUGCUAGACUUAUCGCUUUGGGUUUACCAUGUCUAAAAGAACCAAGGAUCUUGGGUCUGGCACGAUGCCAAACCUAAUGCUUUUUGGUGUGGCACCUUAUCAAACUCAAGGCGAUUGAGUUUGGCAUGACUGUCAGACUCAAGAUGAUUGUGUCUGGAUUGACUGUCAGACCUAAGGUGCUUAGGUCUCGCAAGGCUGUCAGACCCAAGAUUAUUCUGAGAAAUAAAGUUGAUGGACACAACUAAAGCCAUGCUCAUAUUGCGAGUUUAAAUAUCUUAAUUUUAGUUAUUUUUUAAUCAAAUAUCAAUUUAUUUAACUAGAUAUGUGUAUAAAUAUUUUGAUUUAUGAUUGGAAACUUUUUACAUAAAAAAAGUUGAAAAAACUUGUUCUUGAGAGAUCUAAAAGACCCUGCAACUAAGGUUUGUUUAUUUGAAACCAGACACAACAACUCUAGUUUUGCCUUUGAAAAUGAAUUUCUAAUACCUUUUUCCAUGAAAAAGUGUUUGACCUUCAUCAAAUCAAAUAGAAAUAGAAUUGAUCAAUUAUUUUGUUUGCAAAACAUAGAGAAAGCAAUGUCAAGAUAUAAACUUAAUUAAUAAAUAUAUAGUUGGUUUUGUCUUACAAGGAAGAAUUUUUUUGUCCUAAAAAAGAGUAAUUGAAUUCUAGUUGAAUAGAAACAUGAAAUUAUUUAUUCCCAUGCAAGAUGAAGUCAAGAUUAACCACUCAUUUGUGUGAGGCAAAACAAUGUUGUUGUUGUUGUUGUUGUUGUUGCUGCUGCUGCUGCUGCUCCAACAACAAACAAUUAUUAUUUUAUUGCUGUUAUUUUUUAUGCCACCUAGUCGUUUGCUAGAAACUUUACAUCUAAAAUUUCCUUCACUAAUCUUUUUCUCAUUUUCUAACCGAAAAGUCAUGUACUAACAAAAGCCUUUUAUAAGAUGUUUGUUUUCUUAGCUACCUCACGCAUGGUCAUACAAACAUGAUGAACACAAGCCUAAUAUGACUUUCUUUUUAUUUCUUGAAUCAAUAACAAACUCGUCCCAAGGAAACUAAUGUUUACUUUUACGUGUUGUGCAUCCUAGAUCAAAAGGAAACAUAAAAAAACACAUACAAGUAGAUUUAUGUGGUUCCCCAAAAUGAGUACGUCCAUGGAGGCAGCAAAUUGUAUAUUAUUGGAGGAAUGUUACAAACACUCUACUCAACCUCAGUAUAAUUCUAAAAAAACUCAGUAUUUCACUCUUACACUCAAUGUUUCUCUAAAAUCUGCCUUUUCUCACUCUCACAUUACAUUGUCUUCCUGUCUUUUUUUGCUUUUUUUUGCCUCCUUUUAUAAGAGAAAUGGAAGCCUUGACAACCUCAUUAAUUCCAAUUCCAGCAACCCAUAAAUAGCAAACAACUAUUAACUAUCAUAAUAAAUGUUACAACUGACUUUAGUGCAUCUAUCAUAAGUGUUGGUGGUUGAAAAAUGUUGAUAUAAAUUGCUAAAAAUCUCCACCUUGGCGAGAUUUUUCCAUCCAAUCAUAGUGAUCAAUCAAUGUUGCCUCUAAUGAGCCAUAUGGCGCUGCACCCUGAAAGUGCUUAACACCAAGAGAUGUUGACUAAGUCCAAACAAUGUUGGAACUUGAUCCUUGAGACAUAUUUUAUGAGCAUGUCAGUUGGAUUAUCUACAAUACCAAUCUUCUAUAGCAAAAUAUCCCCUUCAUCCAUAAUUUCUUGAACAAAAUGAAAUCGAACAUCAAUGUGCUUGGUGCGGGAAUGAUGAAACUAGUUCUUUGCAAGACAAAUUACACUUUGACUAUUACAAUGGACAUCCACGUGCUCUUGAACAAUUCUCAAGUCUGCAAUCAACCCAUAUAACCAAAUAGCUUCAUUGGAGGCUUGUAUUACUACCAUGUACUCUGCCUUAGUUGUUGAUAACACUAUCGUUGAUUAUAACAUUGACCUCCAACUUACAGGUCGUUUAGUAAGUGUAAACACAUAGCCUAUUGUGAAACGACACUUGUUUAAGUCAUCAGCAUAGUAUGAGUCCACAUAACCAACUAAAUUUUAUUCGAGGUUAUCAUCCCUUUCAAACUUCAAACCAAUAUCAGUUGUGCCAUGAAUGUACCAUAGAAUCCACUUAACUGCCUAUUAGUGACCCUUUUCUGAAUCAUGUAUAUACCUACUCACCAUAUUGACAGCAUAUGAAAUAUCUAGUCUCGUAUAAACCAUUGCAUAUAUUAAUGCACCAACAACAUUUGCAUACAGAAUUUGAGCCAUAUACUUGCACUCAUCCUCUAUGCAUGGAGACAUUGAAGCAUUUAGCUUAAAAUGAAGAGCUAAAGAUGUGCUUACAAGCUUGGUCUUACCAUCUACCCCAAAUCUCUGUAGAAUUUUCUUCAAGUAUUGGGUCUAUGUCAAACAUACUAUAUCUUUCCUUUUAUCUCUUUAAAUAUCUAUACCAAUUAUCUUUUUAGCUUCUUCAAGAUCUUUUAUUUCAAAUUUAUUUCUCAGUUGAGCUUUCAAUUUAUUAAUUUCCACCUUGCUUUUAGAUAUAAUUAGCAUAUCAUCCACAUAUAAGAGCAAAUAAAUAAAGGAACCAUCAAGAAGCUUGCGAAAAUAUACAAAAUGGUUAAACUGACUCUGUGUGUAUCCAUAUUCUAUCAUGAACUUAUCAAAUCGCCUAUACCACUAGCAAGAAGACUGUUUCAAUCCAUACAAUGAUAUCUUCAGUCUAUACGCUCAAUUCUCUUUUUUGGUGACUUUGAAACCAUCUAGUUGUUACAUAUAAAUUUCCCCUUCCAAAUCUCCAAGUAGGAAUCCGGUUUUCACAUCAAGUUGGGCUAACUUAAGAUCAAAAUAUGCAAUCAAGGCUAGCAAAAUAUGAAUUGAUGAAUGCUUAACAGCUAGAGAGAAUACCUCAUUAUAAUUUAUCCCCUAUUUCUGAGAGUAGCCUUUUGCUACUAAUCUUACCUUGAAUUGGAUGCUGUCUUUUCCAGGAUUACCUUCUUUCUUGGCAUAGACCCACUUGCAACCAAUUGUCUUCUUUCCUUUGGGGAGUUAUACCAAAUCCCAAGUCUGAUUUUUGUGGAGAGAUUUCUUCUCUUCAUUUAUUGUCUAUUUUUAUUUUACACUUUCUAUACUCUCAACAGAUUCUUUGUAGGUGUAGGGGAUUCCAUCAUCAAUCACUGGAAAUGCAUAAGCCACCAUGCUACAUUACCGAAAAGGUUUCUUGAUAACCCUUUUCAGUUUACUUAUUGCAAUGAAUUCUUGUUGUUAUAUGGUUGUUGGAGUUAUAACAUUCUCUUCAUUUGAACUUUCAUCUGAAUCUUCUUCAACAUGAAUUGUCUGAAUAGUCUUUAUAGGAAAGGUUGAAGUCUCAAACUCCAAAUGUUAUGCAUCACUUGGUUGUUUCUCCUUUUUCUUGCGACCUCUCUUGUUGUAGCAUGCUAAACUCGUCAAAAAUAACAUCUCUACUCAAAAUCACUUUAAUUGAUUCAGAACACCAGAGUCUAUAGCCCUUUACUUCUCCAUUAAAGCCUAAAAAUAUAGCUUUCCCGGCUCAAGGAUCUAGCUUGGACUCAGUAACAUGAUAAUAUGUUAAACAUCCAAAUACACACAUAUAGUCAUAAUCAUUUGCAGGAGAGCUUGACCAUACCUCCAAGGGAGUUCUUAUAUUUAAUGUUGUUGAAGGCAACCAAUUAACAAUAUGACGAGCAUAACUUAAUGUCUCGCCCCAUAACGCUUUGUUUAGUCUCGAAUGUGAUAGCAUACAUUAGAUUUUCUCCACCAAUAUACGGUUCAUACGUUCUACUACUCCAUUCUGUGUGUUUUCAAAUAGUAAAAUGUUGUUUUAUCCUUUCAUUUUAGCAAACUUCAAAGAAAGGAUCUGAAGUGUACUCACCACCAUUAUCUGAUCGAAGAGUCUUAAUUCUUUUUUCUAGUUUGAUUCUCCACCAUUUUUCUUCCAUUUCAGAAAGAUAUCAAGGACCUCAUCUUUGUGUUUCAUCAUAUAGACUCAUACUCGUCUUGAGAAAUCAUUAAUAAAAGUAAUAAACCAACGAUUACCUCCAAUAGAUUCAUUCUUUGAAUGUCCCUAUAUGUCUAUGUGAACAUAAUCUAGAAUCUAUUUUAUGUUGUGUACUACAGUGCCAAACUUAACCCUUGUCUGUUUUCCAAGAAUAUGAUGCUCACAGAACCCAUACUUUCUAGUCUUGGUGCCUUUUAAUAGACCUUUCUUGACCAAUCCUCACAAAGCCUUUUCACCAGCAUGUCUUAAACGCACAUGCCAAAGUCUGGAAUUAUCUGCUUCAUCAUCUUUAAAACUCUUGGAGACGACUACUCUACCAGUAACUGUAGACCUAUCCAGGAAAUAUAAGUUUCCUUUCCUUGUGCAUUUUAAAGCAUCUAAUACACCACAAAUUGCUUUUAAGACUUCAAACGAGAAGAGAUUUUUCUUUAAGUCAGGUACAUACCGUACUUCUGUUAGUGUCUUGACUAUCCCAUUAUGCAUCUUCAGAUGAAUAAUCCCUAUCCUUUUUAUGUCACAAACAUCAUCAUUACCCAUAAACAUAACUCCUCCAUCGAACUCUUUAAGUCUCAAGAAUAAGUGCUUGUUGGGGCACAUGUGAUAGGAACAUCCAGAAUUAAAAACCUAUUCACUGGAAUGGUUUUUUGAUGAUAAGACCAUGAAUGAAGAGUCUUGUUCAUCUUCAUCUCGUGCAAUGUUCAUAGUUGGUUCAUCCUUGUCCUUGUUGCCUUUAUUUGGACAAUCUUUCUUCCAGUGUGGGUAUCUUAAAUAAAUAUCAGACAUGCUUGGGUCUUCUUCUUUUUUUUCUUUGUGAGCGUACAAUGCACAAUGGUAGGCAACCUAUAUUUCUUUUAUUAUUAAGCAAACAAUAAUUCACCUAAUGGUUUGAUCAUCUAAAAUCUUGCCAUUAUAAUGAUAGCUGAAAAAAUAAAGGGUUGGUAUAAUAAUUUAAUUUUUAAUUCAUUGACAUCUAAAAAUACUAUAAAAAACUUUUAUAAACCACUUAUCAACUCCAAAACAUCCUUAAGAACAACUUGAACAAAAAAAAAAAACAACUAAAUCGAAAAAAUCUAAAAGAACUUGAAUCUAUUUUUUCAGGUAAGAUGAAUGACAAAGAACACUUAAAUGUAACUUUUCUCAUCGAAAGAAACCCGUUUAUAUCAAGAAUGAUUUUUUCAUGGUCAUAAUCUUGGCAAUCAGAAACUUUUUUAUUUUAUCAUUAUUUUUCAAUGUUUCUCUUUCUCUUAUCUCUCAAACCAGAGAUCAAGAUGAAAAAAAAAUUAUUGGACCAUAACUUCCAAUCCCUAAAUUAGAGGGAUCAAAAAGUAACUUUGACAAAACCAAAAGGCAAAAUUUAACAAAAAAACCAAGACUCUUUUAUUCUUCUUCCAUUUUGGUUUCUUAACUUUUAAUCUUGUGAAACUAAUAAAAUCACAUAAAUUCCAAUAAAAUUAAAAAUCAAUUUAAUGACAAGAAGUUUUGUCAAGAAUAUAAUAGUCUCGUGAAAAAGUAAGAAAGAAUAAGUUAUAAAGAUUGAUUCCAAUAAACGCAGUGUGAAACAAUUAAAUAAAAAAUUGAAGAGCAUUAAAAAAAAACAUUUAUUAGCCCAAAUCACAAAUUCCACUAAAACAUUCACCUUUCUCACCUUUGAUUUCUGGGUCGCCGGUCCUCGUCUUAUUUGGUUUUGGUAUCUGUCAUUGUUUUUUCUUUUUUCUUUGUUUUUUUUUUUAGGGGGGGGAUUUAUAGCGUGGGUUAAACGAGAAUUAUUUGCUGCUUAUUACUUUGUAAUAAAUUAAUUAAUUCUCAAAAAAUAGUAAAUUAAACUUGCCUUCAAUUAGGAUUUGUGUUCUUCAAUUUUGAACCUUUUCUUUUAAUCCCACAAGUAGUAUUUACUAUUUAGUUUACUACUACAUUAUAUUUAUAUUUAGUAUCAAGUUUUUCUUUAAAAAAUCUUAAUAUAUUUUUAUGUUCUUUUCUAUAUUCUACUUUUUACAACUUUUUCUUUAAAAAACAUUAUUUUCUACUUUUUUAAGUUUUUCUUUAAAAAAAUAAUUACUUUUUUUUAUCCAAUCUUAAACAAUUCAUUCAUAAUUGAAUUCAUAUAUUUAUAAGAAUUUAAUUUUUGUAAUUGAUUUUUAAAUCUCAUUCCAAAUUUAUAGUGUAAAGAUUAAACUGAAUUAUUAAAAAAAAUCAAUAGUAGGUCUUGCUUGUAGGAAUUAACUAGUUAGGUGGUCCGCUCUACGCCGAGCGGGCUCAUCUUUAACUUCCAAAAAAAAUUAAGAGCAGAACUCAAGUCUAUUUGGGUCCUGCCAAGCUAGGUUCAAAGCAUAUUUGGAUCCUGCUGCGGCCAGGAUCCAAAGCUAUUUUGGGUCCUGCCCAACCUGGUCUAAGUCUAGUCUUGGGCCAGGCCAUGCAGGACCCAAGGUUAUUUGGGUCGUGUAAUGGUAAGAUCCAAGUUUAUUUUUGGGUCCUGCAACUAAUAAUUUGUAUGUAAUUUGUAAAUGAAAUUAAAUGUAAUUUGAUAAAAUUAUUAUUACAAUACAUUUGGUAAAAUUAGUAAAUAAUAUAACAUUUUCUUUCAAAUUCAUCAAUUAUUUUAUUAAUAAUAUUAAUUACAAAAAAAUAUACUCUUAUAAAUUUUACUGAAAAUAAUAAUAUUUAUAAUACAAAUCAUAAUGUUUUUAGUAUUAAUAUUAUUAAUUAUUAUAAAAAUAAUAUUAUUUAUAACUCCAAAAAUAAUAAUAUUUUUGAGAUUAAUACUAUUAAUUAUACUAAAAAAAUAUAUUAAGAAAAAAUAUAAUAAUAAUAUAAUAUUAAUUAUACCAAAAAAUAAUAUUAAAAGAACAAUUAAUAAUAGUUUUGAGAUCAACACUAUUAAUUAGACUAAAAAAAUAAUAAUUUUUUUAACACCAAUACUAUCAAUUAUACCAAAAAAAUGUAUUAAGAAAAAAUAUAAUAAUUCUUUUAAUAUUAAUUAUACUAAAAAAAUAAUAUCAACAAAACAAACAAUAAUAUUUUUACUAUUAAUACUCUAAAAAUUAAUUAUACCAAAAAAAGAAUAUUAAGAAAACUAAUAUGAUAUUUUUAAUAUUAAUACUUGUAAUUAUACUAAAAGUGUAGGUAGCCCAAGAACCACGUGGCGCUUGGGCUGCACCUAAGAGGACCUGCCUUUGUGCGUGGCAGCGCUUGGGGUGCCUGCGGCCAGGACCCAAUGCUAUUUUGGGUCCUGCCCUGCCUGGCCCAAGGCUAGCCUUGGGCCAUGCCUUGCAGUGCCCACGCCAUAGCGCCACCUGGCACGUGGACUGCAGCGCAGAGGAAGCAGGCCAGGUGCCACAUGGUGCUUGAGUUGUCCGCCCUCAAGAGAGAACUCAAAUGCCACGUGUCCCAACGUGGUUUUUUUUUUUAUAGUAAUAACAGUUUUUUAAAUUUUAUUAAUGAUGAUAAUAAUAUUUAUACUCUUAUAAAUUUUAAUGAAAAUAAUAAUAUGUAUAAUACAAAUAAUAAUAUUUUUAGUAGCAAUAAUAUGAAUUAUUAUAAAAAUAAUAUUAUUUAUAACACCAAAUAUAAUAAUAUUUUAGAGAUAAAUACUAUUAAUUAUACUAAAAAAUAAUAGUAAUAGAACAAAUAAUAAUAGUUUUGAGAACAAUACUAUUAAUUAGACUAAAAAAAAUAAUAUUUUUAAUACCAACUCUAUCAAUUAUACUAAAAAAGUAUAUUAAGAAAUAAUAUAAUAAUUCUUUUAAUAUUAAUUAUACUAAAAAAAUAAUAUCAACAAAACAAACAAUAAUAUUUUUACCAUUAAUACUCUAAACAUUAAUUAUGCUAAAAAAAGAAUAUUUUUAAUACAAUUAUACUAAAAGUAUAGGCAGCCCAAGCGCCACGUGACGCUUAGACUGCACUCAAGAGAAAGGAAAGCUACUGCCACGCGGCGCUGAGGCGGCUUGCCUGGGGGCGUGGCAGCACUUGGUCUGCCCGCGGCCAGGACCCAAUGCUAUUUUGGAUCCUGCCCUGCCAGGCCCAAGGCUAGCCUUAGGCCAUGCCUGACAGUGCCCACGCCAAAGCACCACUUGGCGCUUGGACUGCAGCGCAGAGGAAGCAGGCCAAGUGCCACGUGUACCAACGUGGUUUUUUUCAUAGUAAUAACAAUUUUUUAAAAUUUAUUAAUGAUGAUAAUAAUAUUUAUACUUUUAUAAAUUUUAAUGAAAAUAAUAAUAUUUGUAAUACAAAUAAUAAUAUUUUUCGUAGGAAUAAUAUGAAUUAUUAUAAAAAUAAUAUUAUUUAUAACACCAAAUAUAAUAAUAUUUUAGAGAUUAAUACUAUUAAUUAUACUAAAAAAUAAUAUUAAUAGAACAAAUAAUAAAAGUUUUGAAAUCAAUACUAUUAAUUAGACUAAAAAAAUAAUAAUAUUUUUAAUACAAAUACUAUCAAUUAUACUAAAAAAAUUUAUUAAGAAAUAAUAUAAUAAUACUUUUAAUAUUAAUUAUACUAAAUAAAUAAUAUUAACAAAACAAACAAUAAUAUGUUUGGUUAGUGAACAGACCAAGAGAAAGGAAAUCAAGCACCACGUGCGCUCUUGGUCUGCCCCAGUGCCUAAGGCCGGGCCAACCAAACGUCAAGUGGCGACGCGCUUGGCGCCCUGGUCUGCCCCCAGCCCCAAGGCCGGGCAGACCGAGCGCCAGGGGACAGCAACCCCGGAGGCUUGCCUCUAGGCUGGCGCCCCUGCCCUCCAGCCCAACCACACCCCUGCCAAACAGUGCGGUUCACAGUGAAAUCUAUCACAGUCCACAAUAAAAGCACUCACAAUGCAUCCACAGUGUAGCGAGUGCAAUCCACAGUGAAUUCACUCACAGUGAACAGUAUUCCACGCUACAGUGAAACACUGAUAAGUUUUAGUUAUAAUUAAUAGUGUUUUUAUUUUUGUGCAGCAUAUUCAAUAUGAUUUUAUCUAAUUGCUUUGGUUAGUUUAUAAAUUUAUUUUGUUGGUUUCAGCAUUAAUUUAUUUAAAAUCAAUUUUCUUAUCUGAGACUAAAUUUAUUUUGAGAGUUUUAAAUAAUAAAUUCUAUGAUGUUGAAUUUAUAAUCAUAAUAUUUACCAUGUAAAAAAAUAUAAGAAUUAGAGAUAAAUAUUAAAGAGGGAAUUUUUUAAAAUAAUAUUAUCAUUUUUUAUAGAAAUGAAUUUUUUUUUUGUUUUUUUUAUAUAUCUAUUUCUCUUCUAUACUAUAAAUAUUAAUAGAUAUAAUAACUUGAACUUUUACUAGGAAAUGCAAAUCUAGAAUAUAAAAAAAAUUAAUUAUUAGUAAUAUUAUUAUUAUUAUUAUGGACCUGUUGAUAAACUAGCACGAAAUCCAGAAAUGGAUAAUGCUCGUAAGCCCAACACAAAGCAAUACCCAAUGGAGUCCACAGUCCAGCUAAAGAAGUAGAAAGGGCCGAAGGGAAUCUUUUUAUAAGGAAGCUGCUACAUUUUCAAACAAGAAGUAGAACCCUUCGGUUAUAGUCGUCAAGAAACAGAAGGACAACAAUGGACGAAGUUCAAGAAAGAGAGAAAAAAGAAGAAUUCGAUGCAUCAGAGAUUGAAUACGUUAGCUAUGGUGGUGAGCAUCACCUACCAUUAAUCAUGAAUCUUGUCGAUCAAGAACUUAGUGAGCCUUACUCCAUCUUCACCUACCGUUACUUUGUUUAUCUUUGGCCACAACUUUCUUUCUUGGUAAGUGUGAUUCUUUUCUUCUUUUAUGUUGUUGGGAUUUUUUUUUUGUGUUGUAACUGUGUUUUUGUUGGUGGGUUUCAAUUUCAGGCGUUUCACAAAGGCAAAUGUGUAGGGACUGUUGUUUGUAAGAUGGGGGAUCAUCGGAAUUCAACUUUUAGAGGUUACAUUGCUAUGUUAGUUGUCAUCAAACCUUAUCGAGGAAGAGGCAUUGGUAAUGGCUUCUUUUUUUUCAUUUUGGGAUUUUGUGCACAGUUUUAGGUUGUGUUGGAUUAUAUAUGUGUAUCUUGGAUUGGUUUUUAAUGUACUAUUAUUGGAAACAAGAAAGGAAAGGGGGUGAGGGUUUUCAAGAAAUUGGACAUGCAUUGUUAACAUUAAUGGUAGAAAUAUGGAUGUUUGGAAUGAUUAUGUGUAUAAACUGGCUGCAUUUGAUUUGAACUCAAGGUCCAUUCUUUGUUUUCCUACACUUGGGAUGGCAUUUACAAAGGAUUGGAUGUGGGCUUUGAUAGUUUUUAGGCUUUGUGUUGAUAUAUCAUGUUUUUCUCGUUAAUUGUAUUGUGUAUGGGUACGUUGUAAUUUCCAGUGAAAUUCUCUCCGCACUGCAGCUACUGAACUUGUUACCAGAUCUAUUCAAGUGAUGAUGGAAUCUGGAUGCGAAGAGGUUUGUCAAGUUUUAGUUGGUGUACCUUUUGGUUUGUACUCAUCUAAAUGUAGCAUUAUUCAUACAACUAUAUCACAAAGGAAGUAUGGAUUUUUUAUCCUCAAGCUUUAUUUGUACUUUCCAUGGUACCGAAUGAGCAUAUAGGAGAGUAGAAAUAACUACAUUUCCUAAGCAUUACCACCAAACGUUGGAGCUCUGUUUGGGGCUUGGAACAGCAUGGGAAACAAAGGAGAAUUAUGAAACUGCUUAAGUGGUUACCUUCACUGCCAAUUAUAGGAGAGUAGAAAUAGUUUUCCUUUCUACUCCACUGUGCUCUUUGAUCUCAAACCAAAGGGAAAAAUAAGCUUUCCUCUCGAGUUUGGCUGGCAACUUGGCAUGUGUAUAAAUGGUGAUGCUGUAUCUUGUAUUCACACCUCCAAAAACCUUUUCUUCUGAAAUUUCUUGGUGUUUGUGCAUUAUUCUGUAGUAACACCAUGUCUCUUAGACACUUCAUGCUUCAUUUGUUAUUUCAAUUCCAUCUCUCCUCUUAGUUACCUGAUGCUGCAUGGCUUCUUCUUCUUCUUUUUAGAGGUUAAUAUAUGUUACUGAGAAAAGUACACUUGGCACCCAAAAAGUAGUGAAAGAUUGGUUUUAAAAAUAUAAAAUUUAAAAUUUAACAAUAUAUAUUUGAUUAUUGGCACAAAAAAUUCAAUAUAAGAAAUAAAAAUUUAAAAUUGGAUGUUUAAGGACUCAUUUAGAUUUUUUUAAAAAGUUCAAUUAAAUUUAUAAAGGUUUUAAUUGCAGGAAAUUUGAUUUUUUAAGUCAAUUUGGGCUUUAAUUGAAAGAAAUUAAAGUUUAGGGGUCAAAUUACAAUUUAUAAGAGUUAAUUUGGUCAAAUUAGGGGUUUAAUUACAUAAAUAUUAAAGUUUGAUGGGUAAUUAGAGACUUGAUUUAAGUAAUCUAAAACAAAAAACCAAACUGAAAAUGUACGUUAAUAUAGGGUCUAAAAUGACCGAAUUGAAAAAAUUAAAAGUUUGUUGAUUAAUUAUGGGUCAAAAUACAUAAAUUCAAAAUUAAUGAAAAAUACAGCUAAUUUUAAGGAUAACAUUUGAAUUUAACAGGGAUAAUUGAAUUGAAAAAAAAAAGAAGGUUAAAAAUGAUGUUGUUUCAAUAGCACUGUACAUCUUUUUCUUUCCCUAAUUGUGCUGUAGACAGGGGAAUUAGAAAUUUGGAGGAAGAAAGAAUAAAUUAUCACAAUUUAAAUUAAAAAUAUAAAGUACGUAAAGGCUUUCUAGCUUUGUGAUAAUUUAAAUUAAAUUAUCACAAUUUAAUUAUUAUAAUUUAAUUAAAAUAUAAAUUAUGAAUUUUAUUUACUUUUUCUAGCAUGGUUAAAGAACAAAAUCAUUUUUAUUGAAUUUGUUUUUAAUUAAAUUCUUUAAUAUUAAAAUCAGUCUUUUUUAUGACCUAAAUAUUAUCAGCCAAAUCCUUUUUUUCCUCCCUUGACCACGUUGUCUCCCUCCUCUCAACAUUCAAUAAUUAAAAACUUCAAGGAUCAUAUUAAACUUUUCUACACCACAAAAAAAUAUAUCAAUUAAGAAAAAUAGCUUAAUGCAUAAUAACUUGAGUCACGCUACACAAUAAAAUUUGUUACGGUAAGAAUAACAAAUGUUUUAAUUUAGAAUAUAAUACGAGGCAUGCGCAAUUAAGAUUACAAAAACGAGAUUUCAAGUAGUGGUUAAAUUAGUGGAGAAAUAUAAAUUACGUACUUGUAGCUGUGUCAACCAAUUACCCACUUCUUCGUGGCCUUCAAUGGUUAAGUUUUGCAAAGGCAAUUGAGCAUCAAAAUUCCUUGGACCUUAAAAGCUGAAGAGACAAUUCUCUUAGUUGAGGGAAUUUGAUCCGUUGGAGGUUCGGAAGACAUGGAGACACAGAGACGUAUUCCAGUUUACCACAAUCAUAUAUACGGAGAGUUUUAAAUUUUGGGAAGCAAAGUGACUCUGGAAUUACUUCCCUUUCACCAUCAUUUUCUCUGAUAAUAUGCUCCAAUUCACGACAAUGUCUUAUCUCAAGUGUUUGCAGUUGUGGUAGACUUUCAGCGAGGGACGGUGCGAAGAUAAAUGUCAGUUUGUCGAGAGCCAAACCGUCAGAUGAGCAAGACUUUGCAGGCUGACAUGUCUGGUGGGCCCCUUCCAUAUGCAUUUGAGCUCAGGUAACCUUUGCAGCUCUAACUUAGUUAAAGAUGAUAGCAGCGGCAUCUCUUUCUCCUCAUUGCUUUCAUCAGCCUCACCCAAUUCAAAUACCUCUUCCACUGAUUUGCAGUCCUCAAUUUUCACACUCUUUAGAUUUUUCAAAACUUGCCGCAAUUUUGCUGGAAACAGAGUGAAAACAUCCCCACAAUCCCUCACUUCUACAAAUUCUAAUCUUUGUGAGAAGCCCUUUUGGGGCUCAUGGCCAUGGGUGGUCAUCUGAUCGGAGUGCAAUUCUAUAUUUUUUAAACCCUCUAAACUCGUAAAAACAAUUUGAGACACUGUAGGAAACAACAGCUCAAAUGUCAUCGCAUUUAAGGAUGUGGCGCUUGUACCAGCCAAAUUUAAUCUUGUCGAGGUUGGGUAUCCUCCUGCCAAAAACCGAUUCCCUAACUUUAUAUCAUAUUUGAGCAAGCUGGGAAAAACAAAAUCUCUGGGAAUGCAUUCAACCUUCGCUAUCUUCAACGCGAAUUAAGGAUGAGACAACGAAUUUAGUUCUUUUAGGCUUGCAUUCAUUCCGCCUGUGCUGUCAAUCCAACAACAUCCCAUCCCUCAAAGCUGCGACCCCGAUCAAUAGCUCUUCUAACUUCUUCAACCUUCCAAUCAAAUUCACAGGGAUCCUUCUUAGCCUUUGACAACCUGUCACAUCCAACAACCUUAACUCCUUGAGCUCUCCUAUUUCAUCAGGUAAUUCUUCAAUGGAUAAGCACCACUUAAAAACAAGAAUCUUAAGUCUCUGCAUCUUUCUCAACCAAAUGAGGUCCUUGCAUCCACACCUGAUCAACACCAAGUGAUUGCAAUGACAAACACCCUCCCAUCAGAGACAGAACUUCAAUUUCUCUCAUCCCUUCAAAAAACUUAUCUGGAACAUUCAAACCAUCAUCCAGUUCUAAUAAUAGAACUUUGAGCUGUGGACAUACCAAUCCUUCAGGAACUUCUGCUAGUUUAUUGCCCAUUAACGAAAUUGUUGUACAACCUUUAAAGCUUUUAUUGCCCAUUGGCAACUUCUUCAAUCCAAUGCCAGCCUUUACCAUGAAUCCAUAUUCUUCUGAUGAUGCUAUCUGAAUAGCAAAGUCAUGAACCAAGUCAUGCAUUCUCACAUGCUCUUCAGUUUCAGUGCCCAACAGCAUGCAACAAUCUUUGAGGUGUUCGAUUGCUACAGAAACUUGUCCCCUUGCAUCUUCAAUGGGCUCCGUAUCUUGAUGUAACCCAUAGCCAACAGCAUAUCUCGUCAAGCCCUCGAUUGGAAUGUUGUAAUCUUCUGGAAAUAAACAGCAUAGCACGAAACAUGACUUGGUUUCCUUGGACUUCAAAUUAUCAUAGCUCAACUUAAGACAUGUAUAGGCAUUUUUUUGUUUGUCAAUUUGUUCCAUGCGCGGAAAUUGUGAGUCUUUGAGCUGUUUUGACGCUACUUCCCCCUUUUUUUGGGAGUGGCCCGAACAAUGACCCACUCCUUCCUUUCUUCAAAGGAGGAUUCCUUCCCAUAGAAGGUAUGAAAUCCCUUCUUUUGAAUCCCGUAGUCUGACUCUGCUCACUUGUUAACCUUGGGGUGUCAUUCAUUACUCUUUCCAUACCCUGAGUAGCUCGCACUAAAUCUUGGACCGAUAAAAACUGCAUAGCCACCAAAAUUAAUUUCAGCUCCUGCCUGAGCCCUUCCCAAAAUCGUUCCACCCGAUGAUGCUCAGUGGGAAGAUAGGUGUUGGCAAAGAUAGAUAAGUCCUGAAACCUCCUCUCAUACUCCAGGACGGUCAUAUUCCCCUGUUUCAGAUCCAGGAACUUCUGUUCUCUCUUUCCAGUACUGUCAGGAGUAUUACCGCUCCUCAAAUUCUUCUUGAAAGUGUUUCCACCUUAAUUCUUCUCCUGCCCUUCUUUCUCUAAUAGUCUCCCACCAGGAGUGGGCACUCUCCGUUAACAACUGGGUCACACAGUCUACUCGAGUUUCCUUUGGCACAUGCAUCUGAUCUAUGACCCUUUCUACCUUUCUCAACCAAUGUCCUGCUAUUUCAGCAUCUUCUUCCCCUGAAUAGGUCAUGCAACCCAUUUCCCGCAUGCCCUCCACCCAUUGAACCAGGGUGACUACUCUUUCUACCUGAGGAGUGGAAUUGGAUGCACCUGCGGCCAUCCCUGCUGCUACUGCCUUGACCAAUUGCUCCAGAAAUGUAGGGUCCGAAUAUGGAUUCGCGGUGACCGUCAGUGCCACUAGUGGUGGCCUGUCUUCUGGUCCUUGACCACCCGCUGCUCUAGGUAGUAACACUUCUUCCCGAUGAGAGACAGGGUCAAUCUGAUGCCCCCCCUGAUUCUCCCCUCUUUGAAUGGGCCUACUCUAUAGGUUGGUGGGAGGUUGUGUCCAUCAAUGGGUCCCCUUCAUUUUUGUUCCCAUAUAGUGAGCCAUACUCUCUCCCCUGCAUAGGGGACGAGUUUGCUCUUGCUUCCUGUCGUGUACGAGCCAUCCUGCAACAUGUUUUCAAAUUCACAUAAGUAUUUCAAUCCCUGAAACUUCAACCAGUGGCUCUGAUACCAACUGUAACAACUUCAAAAGUUCAAUCAAUAUAUUCGUUUAACUUCCACAUAAAGGGUAAGUGGAGCAAUUUGUUUUUUAUUAAGUUCACUGAAAUUUCGGCAGAGUCUCCCCUAUACCGGGAGAUCCCAAGUUAUCGACAAUUUACCUUGCACACAAUUAUAAUCACAUCCCACCCAUAAUCACAUCCAUAAUUGGUACAAACCAACCAUUUAAUUCAUUCAAGAAUAUACUCAGGACAAAUCUUCAUUCUCAAUCUCCAUCUCAUAUCACAUGCAUAAGUUAGUAAUUAAGAGAACCAUCCAAGCACUGAAAUUUCAUAUAUAAGCACAACAUAGUUUAGCAUUCUAAACAUAAGCUAAUGCACUAUAAUUUCCCAAGCAUAGAUUAAUACAUUAAUAUUCCAAAAACAAAAUAAUAUAAGGAGCCUACUAUUCUAUUCAGGUUACAUGUUUACUGCGUAACAAAAUUACAUGAAAAUCCCUAAGUUCCUAACUUCUACUCCUGACGUGAAUGGGAGGGACCUAUAAAACAUAAAUUUUCCAUGUAAUUAAAAAUAACUAAAAUACAAACAAUUCACUGAAGAAAAUUUAUAUAGCACAUCUACCUACUUAAGUCAUAUGCAAUUCAAUACACCACCACCAACCCCUUUUGAGGACUAUCCAUUUUAUUUCCUUUAACUACUUCUCCCCAUAUUAGGAAGACUACUACCGACUCUAAUGACCUCCAUUAGAGUCUUUAGUUGCCCAUCCUGAGGUCAACUAAUCAAAUUCAUGAAAAUGUCGACACAAACACGACUGUUGGUGUCAUUAACUAUUUUUGGACCGAAAUAGUUAAUCAAUGUUCUAUGUUACCUUAGGAGGUCCUCGGGUAUGCCGAUGUCAAGGAUUCUUGACAUCAUUGGCUUUCACCUCGAAAAGCUAAUCAAGUCUAUAAAUUUUGCCAAUAUCGACGUCACUCGCCGAUAUCAUUAACUAUUCUGAACCCGAAUAGUUAAUUUAGUUUAUAAAUUUUUCAAAUAUCGACGUCACCCGCCGAUAUCAUUAACUAUUCUGAACCCGAAUAGUUAAUCAAGUUUUAUAUUUAUCCUUUCCUCCCACGUACCGGUAAUGCCAAUGUUAACCAGCUUGGCUAACAUCAUUACCCUCCCAUAUCAGGGAUAGGCUAAUCAAAUUCAAGAAACAAUCAUUACCAAAAUUCAUUGUUACUGUUCAUUUCCUCAAAAAGAACCUAAAAAUUAAAUCUGGUCCUUCAUUUCUAUUUUCCCAUCAUUUAACCUUUCCUUUCUCCCUUUUCUUUUCCUCAUCAAUAAGCACCAAUUUUUUAUAGUUCAAUGGUUAGUUAAAAUAAUUAUUAAUUAGAGAAGAUAGAGGUACCGAGUACCUACCUACUGUAGACGCUCAACUUGCGUUCCCCUGUUGUUGCUGUACUCCUCCCGCGCCACAUUUCCCCAAAUUUUACUUAGGACCCUAAUUUUUCAAACUUCAAAUUAAUGCACAAUUCUUGCAUGAAUUUAAUUUGGCUUUCCUAAUUGGCUUAGAACUUCAUACCUGGAGGAAAUUUAGGUUUGAUUUCUGGUUUGAUUAAAUUUUCCUAACCCCUUUCUCCUCUACAAGCAGCUGGCCUCCCUCUCCCUCUUCUCUUAACAAUUCCGUCACUUCUUGCAAAUCUCCUGCCCAAGUUUGUCAUCCCACUUAGUAAUUCUAAGGUAUAGAAAUUUAGGUGUUUUCUCUUAGGCUUGAUGAAGGAAAAUCUGAAAAUUUUCUCUUAGGCUGGUCAUGGAUGAGAGAAGGAAUGGGUAUUUAUAGUCCCAUCUCUUCUUAAUUCCAUUUUGGCCGAAUCUUUCUCCUUUUUUCUUAUUUUAGCCGUUUUUUUUUUGUAUUAUAACAAAAAUUUUGAAUUAUUAUAAACCUCCCCCUUUUUUGUAUAUUUUAUUCUCAGGCUUCACAAAACAUUAUGGUCCUUUUGAGUUAUUAUUUUGGUUUGACACGACUAAACCUUUUCUAUUGGUCCAUAAAUUUAAUGCCCCUACAUAUAAAAAGAAAUAGAUAGCUGUUUAACUGAGUUAACACGUUUUGGUCCUUUUUCCAUGAUUCAAGUCGCAAAUUUAGCAUUUUCCUAGGUUGAUUGUGUGUGUGAUCUUAUAUAUAAAUUCUCCCGUCCUUCUGCGUCCGAGUUGGACUUCUCNNNNNNNNNNNNNNNNNNNNNNNNNNNNNNNNNNNNNNNNNNNNNNNNNNNNNNNNNNNNNNNNNNNNNNNNNNNNNNNNNNNNNNNNNNNNNNNNNNNNCAGGAAGGACGUGUCUUGUGCAUAUCCGCAUGAGAAGUGGAAGGUUCCACCCUCUUGGAUUCUCUAGCAUUAGCCAACAAGGUAUCUACUUGGAAUUACUUCCACCAAUCAAAAACAUAUUCGCAGCACCACAGCUCAAAGACAUGAAUCUUCGUGAAAUCGCCUAAGGCCGAGUUGAUCAUGUAAUAGGUAACCAACCUUGCCUGAUGCAAACAUGAAGAACAAAGACCAUCCAUGCAUAUCGCAUACGUUGAUUUAAUUGAACCAUUAAAAGAAGAUGGAAAAGGAGAGCAGACAAAUAAUUGCAGCCAUAUCACCUGGUUUGGGCAAGAAAGAAUUAUUAGACUAAACACCUUCAACUUCUCUAAAUGAGGGAAUAAGAAAUCAUAACAACAAGCACACACUCUCUUAUUUUUUUGAGGUUCGCACAGUAAUGACUAAACACGAAACAUUACAUUACAUGGGUAUACAAGCAGAUAACCUUAUUCACACAGCAUAUGCAUUAUUUUGGUCGUCAAUUUGUUCCAUGCGCGUAAAUUGAGAUUCUUUGAGCUGUCUAGACGCUACUUCCCACUGAACUGGAGAUUUAUGGCCGAUUGACAUGCCAAAGCAGUUGUGGCACUACCAUAAAGUAGCCAACCCGACCAGCCUUUCUGUAGUAACUUGUCAGGCCAUGAUUGCAACUUUAAGUCAAUGGUUGGGAUCCUUCAGAGUUGAAUUAAGGGCCAAGGGCACCAUUAAAGACAAAAUGCCCCUCUUCCACCCCUAUAAAUAGAGGUGAAUUUCAUGGCCUAUGAGAGGAAACAAUCGGGUCCAAAGUGUUGGGUUUGUUGCCAUUAAUGUGCAACAAAUGGACGACACCGUCCAUUGACUUUGGUAGCCACCAUUGUUGAAGAUAAGCUGGAGUUGGCAGCCACCAUUGUUGAAGAAGAGCUGGAGCUGGUGGCACCAUUCUUGUCUAUAAAUAGGCACCGAGAGAGCAGAGCAGAGUGAGAGAACAAAGAGAGAGUGAGACCAAGAGAGAAAGAGGGGCUGCCAAGGGCAGCAGCCCUGUUGCCUUGUGCAGUAGUGUGAGAGUAGAGUUGAGUGAAGUGAUCCUCCUUCUCCAUGUGUGUUGUAACCCUUUCUCUAUCUAUCUCUAAUAAUAUGGACUUCUCCCGUGGAUGUAGGCGAUUUGCCGAACCACAUUAAAUAUUGUGUCCCAGUGUGCUAAGCCUCCAAUAGACAACUAUUAGAACACCACCGGUCCAUACAUAAGGGGUCGGAAUCCCCAACAUAAAGUUGAUAAAAAAACCAGCCUUACCCCUAGUAUUUAUCCACCAUUAUCGUUUUUUUCUUCUUCUCUGUCGUCGUACGUGACCUUUGGUGGCCUAGCACCCUUGCCACUCCAUCUCCUUGCCAGCAACAGGAGUAGCCAUCAUUGGCUCCUCCCUUCUCCCCUAAACAAUAACCCUUGCAUGCUUCUUCCUCUUCCUCCUAAACCAACAAUGACUCCUGCACCUUCAACUUCCACUCACUAGUGACAACACCAGUAACUCCAGCAGACCAAUAAUUGCCACCAUUUUAGUUUUGUUCUCCUUCAGCACCGGUAGCAGCAACAACUCCAACCAUGCCAAUGUUUUCUUCUUUUUCUCCCUUCAACAGCCAACACCGCCCACCACCGUCUCCACCAACAGCUUUGACAGUAGUCGACAAAAAGGCCAUGCGGCCACUCCUUCUGUAAUAACCCAAUUUUUUAUUCUCCAAAAUUUUCUUGAAUGUUGUUUUUAUUUCUAUUUUGAUUCAUAAAAAUCCAAAAAAAAAGUUAAGAAAAGAAUAUUAAAAUUCAAAAAUAUAUUUUUCUCGGGUCAAUCGUAUUUUACCAUGAAAAAUGAGCUCAUCGGGUCAAUACGGGUCAAACCAUGUUGACUGGGGUAAAAAUUGAAUUUCAAGCUAUUUUGGGUCAAAACUAUUAUUUUUUGUCAAAACUCGGUCAACUGGGUUGACACUAGUUGAAAAAUAUUUAUUGAUGUUUGAAAUUAAUUUUUUAAUAAUUAAAAUUGAUUUUUAGCAGUUGAAAUGGGAUAGGUAAAAAAUUUUCUUCAGGACAAUGUCGUGUCCCCAUAAACGUUUCUUCAGGACAACAUUAACUAUAAAAGGUAGUGAAAAUUUGCUAAAACAAAGAAGAAGAAAAAAAAAGUGAAUAUGAAUGAUAAUACUAUUCAUGUUUUUUUAGUUUUUUCUUCACACGAGUAAGUUAAUGAUUAAAAAAAAAACAAUUCAAAAGGUAUCAAAACUAUCUUGACCGUUAGAUCUAAUAGUAUUUUAGUUCUUGACCCUUAAUUAGAUUUGAUCUAAUACGGCUUACCAUACUAGAUGAAAACUCAAAUUCAUCUCAGCCAUUAACCAAAUCUGACCUUGGAUCUAAUUUUGCCACAUCACUAAGCUGCACAAGAUUUUUGGUACACCUGGUGACGUCAUAAAAUUAGAUCCAAGGUCAGAUUUGGUUAAGCAUCCAUAUGGAUUUGGGUUUUCAUCCAGUGUGGUAAGCUCUAUUAAAUUUUAAAAUUUAUAGCUGGACGAUACCAAUUUAUUUAGAUUUUGGACCAAUUUUCAAAAAACCAACUUGAUAAGGAAUCUGAAACUAUUCCUUGAUUAUAGAUGAUUUGUUAUUAUAUACAUAUCUUGUAGGAUUUAUAUUGACUACGUUUUAUUUGUUUCCUAUUAUAUAGGAUUUGUUAACUGCUGUACAUUGUAUAUAUAAUGAGAAUCAAUCACCUCUGCAUGAUAGGGUGAAUUACAGCUAUUCUUAAACCUUGUUAUGGUAUCAGAGCUCCUUUAGGUUUUUCUUUUACUCUAUCUCUUUAUCAUGGCUGCGCCGUUCCGCUGAACACGAUGGUGCAUAUGCUUACCAUCAAACUGACCUCCUCAAAUUAUUUGUUAUGGAGAAAUUAGUUUAUACCAUUGUUAACAAGCCAUGAUCUUCUUGGAUUUCUGGAUAGUAGCAUCGCAGUUCCUUCUCCACAGAUAACUGGUACUGAUGGCUCUACUCAGGUGAAUCCAACAUACUCUUCUUGGCUAAACACAGAUCAGACCCUAUUAAGUCUCCUUUAUUCUUCCCUUACAGAGGAAUCUAUGAGUGAGGUGCUUGGUUUGAAACAUGCUCAUGAGGCCUGGACUGCUCUUGAAGCCUCCUUCUCCCACAGAUCAAAGACUCGUGAACUGCAACUCAAGGACGAGCUCCAACUGAUGCAGCGAGGCUCCAAAUCAGUGGCUGAAUUCUCUCGCCUUUUCAAAGGCCUCUGCGAUCAACUGGCAGCAAUUGGUCGACCCAUCGAUGACCUGGACAAAGUUCAUUGGUUCUUGAGAGCUUUGGGUCCUGAAUAUAAAAUCUUCUCAACAACAAUGCUUUCCCAGUCUCCGUUACCUUCUUUUGCAGAUAUAAUCCCGAAAGCUUUAAGCCAUGAGAUUUUUGAACGAUCAGUGUAUCAACAAUCUGCCAACUCGGCGUUUUAUGCUCAGCAACGUCAUUCUUCAACCACUAGAUCAAAAUACAUCAACAGAGGAAAACCCAAACCUCCCUCUGCCUCUGUCACAAAAUCUAGUUUCUCUCCAGUCCAUUGCCAACUCUGUGACAAGGCCACUUGGCUAAACGUUGCUGGACAUUUCUUAAUCUCAAGAAAAAGCAGUCUGCCAAUCUUGCUGAAGCUUUUGCUGCUUGUUCAAUCCCGGCCUCCCCUGAUCCUGCCUGGUAUCCGGACUCUAGAGCCACCUCUCACAUGACAAAUGAUCCUGAGGGUGUUGAUAUUCCUGCUGUAUAUUCUGGUAACGAAAGGGUGAUGGUUGGUAAUGGUCAGUCUCUUUCUAUUUCUCACACUGGCUCCGUUUCCGCUCUUGUUCCCAACAGCCCAUUACUUUUAUCUAUUGUUUUAGUUGUUCCUGUUAUUACUAAAAAGCUUAUUUCCAUUAGUCAACUUACAAAAGAUAAUAAUUGUUGGGUCAUCUUUUUUUAUUCUGGUUUCAUAAUACAGGACCGGGUCACAGGAGUAUUGCUGGGAGUCGGCAGAUGUGAGAAUGGCUUAUAUGUACUCCAGCAACAUCAUUAUGCCCUUGCUUCCACAGUUUCUUCCAAUAAAUUGCGUGUCUCUGCUCAUUUGUGGCAUGCUCGUCUAGGUCAUCCUAGUUUUCAUACUAUUGACUCUCUCACCAAGUCAAGUUUUAUUUCUUGUAGUGAUAAAUUAAUCGGUUUGGAUUCUAGUUUAUGUGUUGGAUGUAACCUUGGCAAAAGCCAUCGGCUACCCUUUUCAAUUAAUAAUACUUGUUGUGAUUUGCCUUUUGAUCGUUUACACUGUGAUUUAUGGGGUCCUUCACCUAUUUGUUCAACUACGGGUUUUCGAUAUUAUGCAGUUUUUGUUGAUGAUUGUACUCGUUUCAGUUGGUUUUUUCCACUCAAACAUAAAUCUGAUUUUUUUGAUACAUUUAUCAACUUUCAACAGUAUAUUGAAACUCAAUUUUCAUCCAAAAUUAAAUCCUUCCAAUGUGAUGGUGGAACUGAAUUUACCAAUAAUAAAUUUCGCUCUCACCUCACAUGUUGUGGUAUUGUAUUGCGUGUUGCAUGUCCUUAUACACCCAGUCAAAAUGGAAUUGCUGAACGUAAACACCGACAUGUUACCGAAACAGGACUCACUCUUAUGUUUCAUGCAUGUGUUCCUUUGCCUCUUUGGGUUGAGGCCUUCUCAACAGCUGUUUAUUUCAUCAACCGACUCCCCUCACAAACUCUUGCUGGCAAAACUCCUUACGAGCUUCUGUUUGGUAAAUACCCCGACUACACCAUGCUUCGUACUUUUGGAUGUUUAUGCUUUCCUUAUUUGUGAGAUUAUGCUCCUAACAAAUUAUCUCCCAAAUUUGCUCCUUGUGUCUUCUUAGGUUAUAGCCCCCUUCACAAGGGUUUCCGCUGUUUUGACCGCAAGACACAACGUCUUUAUGUCUCUCGCCAUGUCCAAUUUUAUGAAACUAUAUUUCCUUAUGCAUGUGAUAAUGUUCAACAAAAUCAUAAUUCCACACCCUAUAUUACUUUCUCUGAUUUCUUGGACUCUCAUAAUAUUGUGUCUCCUGCCUCCCCACCUCCAUUGGUGUCUUCUCCAGUUUCGACUUCUACUUGUUUGCCAUGCAGUGAUAAACCUGUAGCCUCCUGUUCCCAGCCUCCUAUUAUGUCUAUCAUCCCAUCUUCCAGUCAGCCCUCUCCUUCUGUUCCUGUUCCACCAAUGACGACCUCUACUAACCUUCACCCUAUGGUUACUAGAAGGAAAGCUGGUAUAUUUAAACCUAAUGCUUAUCAUGCGCUAACCAUUGCAGGUUCUUCUCAGUUUUUUCAGGUUCUUCUAGCUCUCCAAGAGCCUCGGGGUUUCAAAUCUGCAGCCAAACACCCUGCAUGGCUCUCGGCUAUGGAUGCUGAAAUACAAGCCUUGAAGAACAAUGACACAUGGGAUUUUGUACAGCGUCCUGCAAGUCACAAUGUGGUUGGUUGUCGCUGGAUCUUUAAAACCAAGCUCCGUGCUAAUGGAUCCAUUGAGCGUCAUAAGGCUCAUCUUGUGGCCAAGGGUUUCUCACAGAUUCAUGGCCUUGAUUUUGAAGACAUGUUCAGUCCUGUGGUGCGUCCUGCUACUGUUCGGAUUAUUCUAUCCAUUGAAGUCGGUUCCGGGUGGCCUCUACAUUAAUUAGAUGUUCAAAAUGCCUUUCUUCAUGGUCAUCUUUUUGAACUGGUAUACAUGGAUCAACCUCCUGGCUACAUAGAUCCCCGGUUUCCUCAUCAUGUAUGUCGACUAAAGCGUGCUCUUUAUGGGCUCAAACAAGCCCCUCGUGCUUGGUUCCAACGCUUUAGCUCGUUUUUACUGCAACUUGGUUUUCUUAUCAGCAAAGCAGAUUCCUCUCUGUUUGUGCAUCACUCUGCAGCUGGCACGGUUUAUCUCUUGCUCUAUGUAGAUGAUAUGGUGCUUACUGGUAGCAAUCCCAGCUUGAUCAAAACUCUUAUCACACGACUGUCCACCGAAUUUGCCAUGAAAGAUUUGGGGUCUCUACACUAUUUCCUUGGUGUUGAAGUCCACCAUAACUCCCACGGUUUAUUUCUCAGCCAGACCAAGUAUGCUCUUGAUCUUCUCCACCGUGCUGACAUGGUUGAAGCCAAACCCAUUACCACUCCUUAUGUUGUUGGCCAGCAUCUAUCCACUGAAGGGAAGUUAUUUUCAAAUCCCACUCUUUUUCGGUCUCUUGCUGGUGCUUUGCAAUAUUUGACAAUUACUCGCCCUGAUCUCUCAUUCAGUGUCAAUUCAAUUUGCCAAUAUAUGCAUGCUCCGACAGAAGAUCACUUUCGCGCACUCAAACGUAUAUUGCGUUAUGUUAAAGGAACGGUUCAUCAUGGCCUUCAACUUCAUCGCAAUCCUUCCCGUGAUUUGCUUGCCUAUUCUGAUGUUGACUGGGCUGGUUGUCCUGAUACACGUUAGUCUACCACUGGCUAUCUUAUUUUCUUGGGUCCCAAUCUUAUCUCCUGGUGCUCCAAGAAACAAUCCACAGUUUCUCGUUCCAGUGCCGAAGCUGAAUAUCGUUCCUUAGAUGUCGCUACUGCUGAAGUCGCUUGGAUUGUUCAGUUACUUCGUGAUCUCCAUCUACAAUUACCUUCACCUCCGAAGCUGCUAUGCGACAACAAAAGUGCUAUAUUUAUGGCGGUCAAUCUUGUCACUCGGCCUCGCUCUAAGCAUAUUGCGAUUGACUAUCAUUUUGUUCGUGAACUCAUUGCCAAUGGUUCCUUAAAAGUCACCUUUGUUCCCUCUCAUCUUCAGCUUGCCGAUUCCAUUACAAAAGGAGUCCCCAAACCUCAGUUCCUCCUUUUUCGUCACAAGCUUCACGUGGUUCCUUCUUCCAUGCUCAACUUGAAGGGGGGUGAUAAGGAAUCUGAAUCUAUUCCUUGAUUAUAGAUGAUUUGUUAUUAUAUACAUAUCUUGUAGGAUAUAUAUUGACUACGUUUUAUUUGUUUCCUAUUAUAUAGGAUUUGUUAAUUGUUGUACAUUGUAUAUAUAAUGAGAAUCAAUCACCUCUGCAUGAUAGGGUGAAUUACAGCUAUUCUUAAACCUUGUUACAACUGAAUUUGACUUUGACAAAUUAUUUUAUAAUUUUUUAUUGGUUUAAAAUCUAAAAAAUUAAAAUUUUGAAAGUCUCAAUUCAUAUUUUUUUUUAAAAAAAAUUUGUUAAAUUUUUAAUCAAAAUAAAACUAAAGAAAAAAUUAUUCAAAAUCAUGUUAUAUUGAGUAUGAAAAGUUGACAGGGGCCAAUUAUUAUGGGAUAGAGGGAGAAAUAAAUACUAAAUUCUGCGAAUUAGGGUGCUCAAGUCUAAAAACAUGAGCAAAAACUUUCAUAGAUAGGUAAGAAUGAAAUUGCCUAACUUAUCCAAAACUAUUUAUGACAAGCUUGAAUACCAAGAUAAUAGCUUGCAUAUGGCCUCCGGAAUCCUCAACAAGCUGAUUCUUGAGAAGCAGGAUGGAUUUCCACAGAGGAGAGGCAGGGGCCUGAGCCUAAGCAGACCAAACGUACGAGGCACAUAGAUAGAAAUGAUGUAUCCAUUGGAUCCAUACAGAAUCUGUUUUCAAGUGAAUGUUCCACGGCUGCUUGGCUAAAAAAUUAUUACUGCAGGAUUUGAUAUCAACCAAAGUUGACUUGCUUCUUAAGAAGUUCCCUGUCCAUAAAAAGUUUCGACAGAGUCGAGUAAUGUGCCUAAUGACCGCUUGCGGCAUGGGAAGAAUACUAAUCCAAAACUGAACCAUUCCGUGCAAAACAGACUUAACAAGCUCAAGCCUCCCAACAAAGGUAAGAUUCUUCCCCAUCCAGCCAUGAAUGCCCGCUUCAAGCUUGUGUAGCAAGGGAGAAUACUGACUAGCUAAAAGCCUUGAGAGUUAUAUUUAGAUUUCUUUUUCUUUAUCUUGCUAAAUGCCAUAACCCAUUUUUGGGUUAUUCCCCUAUUCACAUUUUUUCUCUCUUUAAAAGAAUAAAAUACAAAAAAAUAAAAAAAAUAUUAUCAAAAAAUAUAACAGUGAAAAGAGAAUGCUAGAACGCUCAAAAAAUAGUUAAAAAUUGGUUAAGGAGGUUCAAAAAUACAAAGAUUAAAAUUUGACAAUAUUUUGCUAAUUGAUGAGAGCUCUUUUGACAAAGAAAAUUCAAUUUGAGGAAGAAAAGUCCAAAAUCAGAUGUUUAUGGACUCAAUUAAAUUUUAUUGAAGGUUUAAUUGAUUUAUGGAGGGUUUGAUUGCNNNNNNNNNNNNNNNNNNNNNNNNNNNNNNNNNNNNNNNNNNNNNNNNNNNNNNNNNNNNNNNNNNNNNNNNNNNNNNNNNNNNNNNNNNNNNNNNNNNNGAGAGUUAAUUUAGUCAAAUCAGGGGCUUAAUUGCAUAAAUAUGAAAGUAUGAUGGCCAAUUAGGGACUUAAUUGAAGAAAUCCGAAACUAAGGACCAAAAUGAAAAAGGCGCGUAAAUAGAGGAGCUAUUAUUAAAACCGAAUCAGGGGCCAAAUUGAAGAAAUUAGAAGUUUAUUGAUUAAUUGAGGGUCAAAUUGCACUAAUUCGAGACCAAGGACCAAUUUGGAAAAGGAGGUCAACUUCAAGGCCGACGAUUGAAUUUGGCAGGGAUGCAAUUGAAUUAAUUUUUAAAAUCAAAAUUACAAUUGAGGACUCGAUUGAACAAAUCCAAAAUUGAGGACUGAUUUGUACUUUCACAUAAGUUUGCCGCCAUUUUCAUUUAAAUAAAAUGACGCGUUUUGCCCAAAACGACGCCGUUUCAUGCACUGUUAAAAAAAAGGAAAAACCCAAAACAGUGCCGUUUUGAAUGGCAUUGUGGGUCUUCUUCUUCCUCUGGACGUGCGAGGCAGGGGAAGAAGAAGAUUUUUUACUGACUUUUCUCCUCCUCUUUCUCCAAAAAGCAUCAAAAAGACGCCGAUCAUAACCCCACUUGUAUAAACUCUGACCCGUGGCCUACCACAGGGCGGUGAAAAAAGGAGGAAACGUGUCCGUCGGCAGUCGUGGGGCGGCAGCAUAGUGGCCACCCCAGCCAUGUCCCUCCCUUGUUUUUGGCUAUAAAAACAAGGGGGCAGAACAAAAAAAAAAACAAGAGAAUAAGGGGGGAGCACAAGAGAAAAAGAAGGUCUAGAGACCGAAAGGAAAAAAAAAAAAACUAAGAGGAGAAGAGGAAAAAGAAACAGAAGAACAAAGGAAAAAAAAGCAGAGAAAAACAGAGGAGGAAGAAGGAGAAGGAGAAGAAGAAGAACCACCACUGACAACCUUUAACCCAGCAGCGCCACCGUUGCGGCUCCUCUCCAUCGCCAUCAGCAGCAGCAGCUCGUCAAGUAGAAGAAGAAAAGAAAAGGAAAAAAAACAGAGGCUCUCACCUCUGCACACUGAAGAAGAGGAAGCCAGCACCGCGUGCCACCAUGCCCCUAGCCACCACUAGCAGCACCGUUGCCAUCGCCACAGUCGCUCGAAGCACCAUGAGCCACCUUAGGUAAGCCUUCUUCCCUUUCCCUUUCUUCUUCUUCUUCUUCUUCGGGUCUCUCCACUGUUCACGUUGGUGUCGCCACUAUUCACGUUGCAUGUGAACAGUGGAGAGACCCACUGUUUGAAUGGGCCAGCAAACCCGGCCCAACCCAAAACGUUUGAGCUAGGUCCGACCCAAUUAAAAAAAAAAUUCUCAAAAUGCUUUUUUAAAAAAUUGUAAUUUUUCCGUGUAUUUUUCUAUUUUUUUGCUUAAUAUCGGUCUGUAUUUUACGUCAUAAAAAUACAAAUCCGGUAUUAAAAUGCCUGGUUUUCGUCAAAACUUCCAAAAAUACAAAACAAAUUGAAAAAAAUGAAAUUUAUGCAUACGGCCAAGUGUCUCAAAGCUAAAAAAUCAUAUUGUGUUUUUUCAUACACCCAAAAACAAUGUUUUAGUAUGCAUUUUGGCUUUAAUAACCAGUUUAUUAAAGUCAAGAGAAUAUUAGCCAAAAUUUCAAAAACAAAAAAAAAUUAUUUUGUUUGUCUUUUAGUAUUCAGGGUACGACAUUCCACGUAAUACGUAUUCUGAAUAUUAAAUUCUUUUUUCGGAGGCUAAAACGGUUAGGUUUUACCCCAUUAAGAAUAAGAACCUCCUUACAUAGGGCUUUUCUUAAAUCUUAGAUAGACAGAACCAACGAUUAGAAACCACAACCAAACCUUAGAUUUUAUCAGACAACAAAACAAUGCAGCCUAUCUUAGGUAGGGCGUAUUUGGGGUGCCAAUACCUUCCCUUUACGCAACCAGUCUCCGUACCCCAUCUCCGAGACCAGUUAGGGUUCCUAGUGAUCAAAAUACUAGGUGGCGACUCUGAGUUCAUAUUUUACUGAUAAGAGACAAGAAUUCCUUGUCUAUCCAUAUUUGCCAUAUACACCAUUCCAUAUUCCAUUUCCUUGAGUGGUGGACGAUCGUCGCGACGCUGCACAAGUACGACACUAAAAAAAGUACAUCUAGCUCGAUAAUUAAUUUAGAUUCAAGUUGAUUUUUUAUUUUUAAAUCAAUUAAAUGUUUAUUUAAGAUUUUGAAUGGAUUUAUUGAGGUCCCUUUUACACAUAGCUAACUUUGAUAUCCCGUCCGAUGUAUCCAACUCUUCAAUAAAAGGAGCAAUUUUUCAUUACAUUCAGCAUAAUAUUUAUCUAACAUGUAUGAAGAUUAUCGCACCCGACAUCGUGGCGGCCUUAAAAACAUUUACUCAAAAGAAAAGAUUUUUGGCAUCUUUUUCUUAGAUAUGGAAGGUCUUGCUUAAAGAGUCGUCACCUAGUAUAAUAGUUACUAGGUACCCUAACUAGUCAACAGAGAUCCUAUGGUAUGGGACUAGUUACGUAAAAGAGAAGAUAUUAUCACCCCUUAAACGUCAUGUCUGACUGGUUUUGUCUUAAAUUGCUAACAGUUUAUUGGUUUAUGCUAUGAUGGUUUGCUUGUAAUAUUUCUGACUUUAGCGUCAGUGAAUAUUUAACUAUAGAUACUUCCAAUUCUGGUGUCGGUAAAUAUUACGUACUAAAAAAAACAUAUGGUAUUUCUCGACUAUGGAAGUGAAUAACCUAGUAAAAUCAUUUUAAAAUCAAUGCAUGCAUAUUUUUUUUUUUAUAGAAAAAAAUGUAUUGUACAGUAGAUUUACAUUUCACAAUAAAAAUUUACAAGUUAGUUAUACAAUGAAAUACCAAAAAAAUAUAUUUGAGGGACCUAUAAAUAAAUUCAAAAUGAUCCUUGAAUGUUUUUGAAAUUUGCUGAGAUAAAAAAAAAAAAAGCUUGCUAGUUAAAUAUCAAAACCAAAAAAAAAAAAAAGGGGAAUGGGCUGAUUGGGCAUGAGGCCCAGGUCCAACCCGCCCUCAGCUUUUUCAGCUUUACCUUCGCACUGUGUAAUACAAACUCAAAGAAUGAAACUCAAUAGCCAGCAUGAAAAAACCAUCUUCAAAGGAAAUCUGCUCGAAAAAACCAUUCAACAAGAGAUUGUUCUGCUAGGAAAACUUUUGAACAGAUAGUACAGCAUCAAGUUUCAGUCAUCUUGAGAUUUGAAUGCCCAAAUAUAUUCACAUGCUCAUACAAUAACAUUUUUAAUAAUGCAUUAUGCAAUAGAAACAGAACAUCAAACUGACAGAGAAAACAUGCUGAUGCAGAAAAAACUCAAGUCGUAGAAAGGAGAACGCAUGAAAGUCCACACAUUAAACCAAAAGAAACACAAAUGGGCAAGCAAACAUACGCCCUUACUUCUGGAGGCUUGUACGAUAAUGACUACACACACAACAUUACAUUACUUCUAACUUCUUCAGCAAACACAUAGAUAGAUAAGACUGUUACAAUGCGAAGCCAAUUUGUAUCCCAUUGCCAAUGAAACAGUUGGAAUUACUUCCCACCAAUCUAAAACAUAUUCGCAGCACCAACCUUGAAAUCAUGUAACAGCUAACCAACCUUGCCUG